rnacentral:lncRNA from 1 species
UUCUCCAUCUCUCCUAUCCUUUUCUUUUACAAAACCUUUCAUUUUUAUAUCACCCACAAUAUUUAUGCAAUCCCACCUAAUAUUGCUCUCCUUUCUUUUUUUUUUCUUUCCUUUUUUGCUUUUCAAAUUAUUUAUUAUAGUCUAUGUCUAUGUCCAAUUAAAUGUUACAAAAAUAUCGAUUUUACAAAUAUUUUGAUAAUUCUAUAAGCAUCAAUCUUCCCUAGAAUAUAUGAUAUUUGGUGAAUAAUUUUUUCACGUUGAAAAUCUAUAAAUAUUUAGAAAUAUCAACCAAAAUGUCCAACGUAUCAACAAAAAUUUAAUAUCUCUCACAUACCAAAUCACAAGUAAUAAUAUUUUAAAUGAUUGAUUAUAAAUAACAUUUUUUUUUUCAAAACUAAAAAACACCGCUUAUGAAAAAUUUAGAAAAGGAAAAAUAAGUUAAAAACUAAAAAAAUUUCAUUACUUAUAUAUAUAUGUACCAUAAUUUAGUAAUUCUUGAUUCAUUUUAAAAUUUUAAAAUUAUCAUUCAUUUGACAUUAUUUGAAAAAGAAGUUUUGCAGCUUAUUAUUAUUUUCACCGAUCUAUUUUUUUUUUUUUGUUGAAUUUGAAAAAGUGUGAAAAGAAGUUAUUGAUAAUAUAUCUCAAUUAAUGUGUCGAUUUAUCCAUAGAUUGCAUUAAAUAAUUAAUGUGUCAAAUUAUCAUCACAUCAAUUUGAUUAUGUAUGUAAUUAUCAACAUUGAGGAGUAGUCAUUAUAUAUCUAAUAAUUUAUAUAUUUCAUUAAAAAAAAAAAGUCUAUUUGGUGACACAUUAUUUUAUUUGUUCUAAUUUCAUAUUUUAUUCUAUAAUUUAAUAGUUACAUUAUUAAUAUUUUUAAGAGAAAAAAUAUGCAUCUUAUGUAAACAAAGUGAUCCUUCUUUCAUUUAGUUUUUGCUCUUUGUUAUAGUUUUGUAUUAAAUAUAUAGAGCUUCAAAUACCACAAAAUAAAUUUUACUUUCUAUUUUUCCUUUAAAAAAAAAUGUCAUUUUCUGUUUUCAAAAAUAUACAUUUGAAAUGUAAAUUUUAAAUCACUUCAAAUAUAAUCGGGAUAAAUCAAAAAGUAUAUUUUUUAUUGACUGAUGAAUGAGAAAUAUACUUUGAGAAGGAAAAAAAAUAAAAUAAUUAGUUGUAAUAAUUUAAUAGUAUAAAAUUCUCAACAUCCGAAUGACGUCUUUUUUGUCUACUAAUAUCGAUUUAGAUUUGAUGGAUUCUUAUUUGAUAGUAUAAAAUUACAUUUCAAAAUUAUCAAUUAACAGUGUGAGAAAUCAUCCAUCUAUUUUAUAAGAAGUGUCUGUUUUCUAAAGUUUUGAACGAGUCAUUCUUAAUUAUCUCUACAAUUUAUUUAACAAACAUAAAAGAUUGAAGUUUAUUAUUUCUCGUUCAUCUUUCUUUCUUUUUCCACAUAUUUUGUCCAACUAAAUUAUUUUUAUACAAUAAUUUAUCUCUCCUUUUCUUGAUUUACUCAAUUAUAUCUACCACAUUUUCUUAUAUACCUAUAUCUAGAUUAAAAAUAUUAUUAUACAAAAGAAAAAGAAUUCAGGAUGGUUACUAGGUUUAGAAUCUAAGUUGUUAAAAUGAGUUGUUAAGAAAAAAAACAAUAAUAUUGUUGAAAUAAGAUGAUAAUAAGAGAGAUAUAUUGAGGACAAAAGAAUUGAUUGGAAGUGGGCAGGCCAAGGGGAUUAGGGAAAGAGGGAAAAUUCAUGAAUGUUGUGUUAAGAUGUUUAAUUAUUGAACAUUAUAUAGUUGUUUUCCAAUUUUUUUAUAUGUUAAAACACUAUUUGGAAAGAAAGAAAGAAAUAAUAUAAUGGAUAAAGAUGUAAUAAUUAUUUGUGGGGAGAAAAAUGCCAAAAUAAAAAUGUGGCGUGCAAAAGUGCAUGCAUACCUUCAUUUUAAUAAAAUAGAGAUGAUCAAUUACUAUGCAAUAAAAUGAGAGCAUUCUUGAAUCAUACGCCAAUUAUAAUUUGAAAGGUUAUAUAAAUAUUGAAAGGUUAUAUAAAUACUCUUUAAACUGAAAAUAAAUUUGAAGAACAUUUUUUAAACUGAUGAGAAAUCAAAGAAAUUAUUAUAAUUUAGGUAAAUUAAUAAACAAACAAACCAUGAGAGUUGGAAUAAGGAAGGAAGGAAGGAACUGCCGUCAUAAUAACGCCAAUUUCGGUAGCUAAGUAAACUUUUGAUGAGAAGAAAGAAAUUAAAAAAAGAGAGAAGUAAAAGAAAAGAUUGUCAUCUAUGACAUAUACAAUGCCUAUUAUGACGUUAAAAUAAUGUUUAUACAUCCGAUAACAUUUUUUAAUGAUGAAUUUCGAUCAACUCAGGAUGUGACACUUUAUUUUUUGAAAAAAAGCUUUGAUGUGACAUUUAGAGCAAAAUAUUAAUGGAAGCCAAUGUAUUGCAAGAAACAAUAGUAUUCAAUUUCCAUUAACAUUUCAAUAUUUUAACUAAUAUUUUGACCUUUUCAAUGAAUUCGUUAAUGAUACUCGGAUGAUUUCAUAUCUUUUAUUAUUUCCUCCAAAAAUUUUGAAAUAUAAAAAAAUGAUUAACAUACUAAAAAAAUAAGUAAUAGAUAUAUAUAUUAAAGAUACCACUUUUUUCUGACUUGAUACAUAAAAAUACUAGAUGAAUUAGCUUUAUUUUUGGCUUUUCGUCCAUUAAAAUAGAAGAAUACAAAUACAACAGUAAAACAUUGAAAUGAAAAUGUAAUUUUGAAGUGACACAUACUAUAUAUAUAUAUAUAUAUAUAUUUAGGCAACAUAAUAUAAUUAACAAAAUUGGUUGUUUUCUUUUUAUUUGUAAUAAACUAGUACCCUAAUGUAUUUCAAAACCGUGCAUGACGUAUUUUGUCAUUGGCUUUGGUGGAGCUAAAAUAUGUUCGUCAAAACUACUAACAAUUUUUCCAAAGCUAUUUAUAAGAUCUAAGUAUUCUUUGCUCAAAUGUGGGUUGGAUUAUCAAUUAUAGUUUGAACUUUACUUUUGCAAAAGAGUAUUGGACAUGUAGUCUCAAAAUUGACACUACCAGUAUAUAAUUCCUCGUAUAGUUUCUCUUUUUUCCUAUAUCUCGUUAUUUACUUCGUUGUUGUAUCCUAAUUUUAGUAUUAUUUUGGUAUGGUUAAACCUAGUUUCUCUAUUAUGGAUAAUAUACUAAAUAAAAGUUUUUAAUCCUAAUUCAUAUUUGGAGUUUAGAAGUUAAAACUAUUCGUAUAGAAUGUUAUCAAACAUGUUGUAAAUAAUGCGUGCAUAAGAAUGUCAGUAUAAAAUUAACAUAGAGUAGAUAUGUCGGCAAAUUAAAACUCACAUAUAUUUUGAUGUGAAAUCCAAUAGGGAAAUAAUUUAUUUGAAAACUCUCUCUUUCUUUCUUUAAUCCCUAGCCAUUUUGAGUUUGAAAAUAAAUCCAACAAAUAUUGAGUGAUUGAACCCAAGAUUGUGAAUUUGGAUUGAAAAAUAAGGUCCAUUAAUGUAUAAAAAAGUGAAAUUAAAAGGAGUUAGGUUAAAAGGCCUAGGUUGCAAAACAUUGAUUAUGGUUCACUAGUGUCAUAUCCAAGUGUCACAAAUCGUUAAUAUGGUUGGCACUUUUAUGACCAUUAUUAUUACAUAACAGUUUAUUACCAAACUUUAUUGGAUAAGCUUUUUGUUAUUCUCUCACUUGCCUCUUAAGUUUGAUUUGCAAUUCAAUUAGUUUGGUGAUCCAUCACCUUAGUUUCACUGUCAAUUAUGAAGCCAUUCAAUUUAAUUCACUUUCAUUUCUUACUUAAAUAUGGAUCAACAUACAUACAUACACAUACAGUAUCAGGCGCAAAUGAAUCAACAUUUACGUUUAGUUAAGAUUUUUAUGGAUCAAACACGAAUGUAUUUAAUAUAAUUAAUGAGAUCUAGUGUUACUAUCAGACAAUUUUAUUGGGUAGAUAUUAUUUACAUUUAUGUUCAAGAUUGGUAAUAAGAAAGGACAAAGGCAAGUGAGAAAUGGUAAAUAACAUGACUUUAUGUGAAUAUCUUUAGUGGGGAAAUUGGCCCUAGGUAGAACCAAAAAUAGUUCGCUAUUAUUAAAAUCUUAUCAAAUGUGUGACAUCAUUUAUUUCCUAAAAAAACAAUUAAAGAAACCUAGACUUGAGCAUGUUUGGGAGUGUCACUACAUGAAAGGGGUAAUUUCCCGACACACAAAUGCAUUGGAAGAUAUACAAAAAUGCAUCGAAAAAUGAUCUCUUAACGCAUAAAAGUCCAUCGAGAUCGAGGUCAAGAAAAAUGUGUUGGGAGAGGUUCUCUUGACGCUUAGCUGAUAACUUGUAGAAAUACAAGUUAUCAUAGCCUCUUUUAUAGAAUAACGACCCCAAAAUGUAGGAAAAAUGUAUUAAAACGGGCAUUUUAUGUUAAAGAUGCAAAAGUAUUUAGAAAUAUACCUUGUAUAUGGUCUCAUGCCUAUUUCAUCGUGUUUUCAAUGAUUUAACACAAAUUUGCCAAACAAAAAAAAAGAAGCCAGCGAAUUGCAAGGAACUCACGAAAAGACUCAACGACAAGGCCAUAUGAAGAGGUGAAAAAUAGUUCGUUAGAAGACAAAAGUAGUAGUUGAAGUGACAUGACCUGCUUGCAAAAUCGUUUAAAUUAGACUCUAGGUGUACAUAAGUAGUUAUAGCGUAUUUUAGCAUUCUUCACAUUUGUUUAUUCGUUUAUACCGCCUAAUUGAUAAGUAGAUUCUAGAAUUAAAGCUUUGAUAUCAAUUCCCUAUGUUCGACCAUGGAUCAUCCAGGAAAACCUACUGUUUCACUUACACUUGGACAAGCAGUAAGAAACUUGUAUUCAACGAGAACUUAACUAUUACCUGAUGAAGAGGUGCAUAACGAGUAUUUCACAUACAAUGACCUUGACUAAUGACUUGUCGCACAACAAUAUUCAUGCAUAUAAAUAACCCUGAAUCCCAACUAAAUUUCAAAGUUCGACAACAACCAGACACAUAGCAUGAUGCUUCAGGAGACCACAGAGAACUUCCGAUGUCGUAUGGAUGGAGUCAAUAGUUCUAAUAUUUUGAUGCCAUCCAUACGGUGUCAAAAGUUCUCUAUAAUCUCUCGAGAAGAUUCUCAUACAAUCUAAAAACUAGAACAAAUCUUAUAAAAGAUAUUGAUGGUGCGCUUGAUCAGAUUCAAAAUACCAUUAUACAUCUUGCAAAGAACAAGUGAAAUGAGCAAAAUACUAUCCAUUAUUAUCUAAAAGUCUAACAAACCUAUAAAUUCCUCUCAGCUUUAGACUAAACCUCUUUAAAAUCCUAAAAUCCUCUUUAAAUUCACCCAUAGGAAAUAACAUGCAUGAUUUUAGGGAACAAAGAGAUUUUUAGGACAAAAUAGAAUAAUCUAGCUUAUUACAUACCAGAAUAGAAAGGGCAGAGGACGGCGACAAUGACACUAGAAGAGAAAGGGAAGAGGAGGACGACGACAUGUAACUGGAAGAGAAAGGGUAGAAGACAACAGGACCAUUUUUCGUUUUUCGCAAAACCUUUUUCUUCUCCCCUUCGUAGAUUUGUGAAUUACAAAUGUGAGUGACUUUUAAAAGAAAAGCUCACUACGCAGCCAAAAUUGCGUUAGAGAAAUGAGAGAACAAGGGAAGGUAAAAGGGUUAUGUGUGGAUUUUAAAAUUAAAGGUAAAAAAGUCAAAGGAGAAUAAGGAAAGAUUAAAUGAUUAGACAAAGAAAAAUAGAGCUAGUGUAAAGGUUCCAAGGCUAGCUCUAUCAUGCCUCCAUCCGAAAUGUGGCCUUUCCGUAAUGAGUGUGGACAUGGAUUGGGUGAACUGAUGUUUCGAGAUAAACACUAGAACACCUAGAUGCUUGUUUAAAUUAAGUGUGUCAAAAUGCGAAGCUUAUGUCGUAAAUUCAUAAAUAUUAACAAAUACACUUUACAUAAGUCUUCAUGACUGUUUCACCUUGUUUUUAGUGUUUUAACACGGAUAUGAACAAAAGAAGAAGCUAGUGAAUCGCAGAUAAACUCGCGCGAAGACUAUGCGAGAAGACCUUGUCUAGAAAGUACAUUUUCUAAGUGAGAUCCACAUCAACACACGAUAAAUGGUUCACUAGAAGGCAAAAGUGGUAGAUGAAGUUGAUGUGAGUUGACAAAGAAUACUUUCGGCGCUGACAUGUUUAGAAGAAUAGAAGUUUUCCGUCGAAAGUUGCCUAUAAAAAGACUCCAUCACCACCAAGCAAAGGAGGCCAACUUUGAGUGAAGUUAGAUGUCUCAAUGGACCCACCUACGCCUGAAUGGGCCAAACCCUAGAGAAUAGUGGAAAGGAGUAGACUUUCCACCGCCUAUAAAAGUAUUUCUUCUUCUUCUCUAGUCAGUUUUUAGGUGAAAGCCUAGAGUCAGAGUAGAGAAGAUGUCAUUAUUCCCUUUUCCCCCUAAUUUGUAAUAUUCAUUUCUUUACUUUCCAUAUUUGUAUUUCUUUUGUAAUGUAUUUGUUCAUAUUGUACAGUGGCUAAAUGCCCAUAUUCUUUAAUACAUUGCAUAUUUAUACAUUUUCAAUCCAUCACAUGUUUACUAUUAAUUUAUCAAUGUGUUAUUCUUAGUCUAGAUCUGGGAUAAGUUCUUGAUAAGAAGCUUAGCUUAUAACUCUUAUCGCGUUAGCUGAGCUAUAUUCAUCACUUGACUAGUGUUUAUCGUCAACUGCUCGAGAGAGUAAGUAGCAAGAUUAUGAUUAACGUAUGCAAGAAGGAGUUUGGAGACAAACUCCGCCUUAGUGAGACAACUUCCUGUUGGAAUUUAUGUCCUAAAACUCGUAGUAUGUAGUUUAAAAUUAUAUUCUAUUCAAUAAAGUGGUUAUUGAGGACUUAUUAGUAAAAACAGAAUGCUAUAAUCUUGAAUCCAAUAAACUAAGGUUCCGAGGCCAUCUAGUGUGAACUUGAACUUUAUAUAGAGACAUAAACGUUAAUCAAGUUCGAGUAUAUAGUCCAAACCGUCACAACUAGAGAUAAAUAGAUUAUAAUAUUUUGUAAUUUCAAACUACAAAAUUAGCCAAACUUUUCACAAUUUGAAAAAAGAAACUAUUUAUAAUCUAAUUACAUGCAAAAUUGCAUGUAAUUAGUUGACUAAAUCUCAACACCCUGUCAUUCCACUAACCAUAGGUGUUUACGUCUUAUCACCCAACGAUCCUUUUACCCAUUUGGUGAUUUUUUUUUUUUUUUUUAAAUCCAGGUGACUAUUUGAACGUUAAGUUAACAUGCUAGCAAAAAAGAAUCGAACUAAAACACUCAAAAUUUCAUGUGAAUUUUGAGGGCUAAACAUGUUAAGAAAAUUUUAAAAUUUUAUAACACUGGAAGCCCAAAAUUCACCCAAAUUCUUGAUGAAAUCAAAUUGUGAAGCACAAGAGUCUUUUCUAUUCCUGGUUGGACUUGCAACAAGGUUGUGGAAUUUGAUGGAGUUUUGAGAAAGGAAAUAAUAUGAUCCGAAGUGAAUUUUCUCUGAAAUUCAACAAAGUACAAUUCAUCUUCAACACAAUCAAAUUGUGUAUUUUAGAGCAAAAUCACAUGCAAAAACUAGUAAUUAGUAUUUAAUUUGACUUUGGUAAGUGGGAUAAUUCCACUAACUUCACCAUAAGCCAACUUUUGACUUUAGAUUUUUAUGAAAUUUUAAAUUCUAAAAAUUUGAAUAAUUUAAUUAAGUAAUAAUAAAAAUAAUUAACUAAUAUAUAAUUAACUAAAGUAUUUGAUAUAUUAUAUUUUAUGAUCAUUAAUCCUUAUCAAUUUAAUUGGCCUAAUAAUUUUUUAUAUCAAAUCUUAUUUAAAUAUCAAUUCACUCUCAAUUUGCAAUCGUUAUAUAAAAGAUUUUUUAAGGAUACAAUCAAUUCAAACCGUUCAAAUUACUUGAUCAAUUUUUUAAAAUUUGAAUCUUAUAAUGAGCUAGGGGAGGAUCUGGUGGACCAACAGAUCACAAGCUCUAACAAUUCGAGAUUAACUGGUACAAUUCUUUUAACUAAUUAGGAUUGUCCACUAAAAGUUGUAGAUAUACCCUCCUCAUUGUAGAUAUACUUGUGUCCAACUGAUAUAACCAUAAUUAGUAAGUCAAUCAUUCACAUGCUGUUAAUAAUCUUGGUUUGGUCAAUUUAUCAUUUGACCUUCAAGAUUAUAUUUUGUUCCUUAAGCGUUAGUUGAUCCUCUAAUGAACAAUUGAUUUAAGAACAAACCUAUAAACUGAAUCCCUCUCGAGUCAAUGAGAGGGUGAGGCUCUGUUGUUCAAGAUAUGGGGUCAUCACUUAAUGGAACAACCUAUCUACUAAAUCUAUGUCUUCGACUAUCCACCCAGUCUUACCCCUGAAAUGGGAGAUAUAUUGCGCCGGUGUUGAUGAGUUGCCUCACCUAUGCACGUAUAAGAAGAAUUUCAUAUGAACAUGAGUUUAUAGUUCACUUAGGGUUAAGAAUGAGUUACCUAGGUCAUUAAUAGUUCAAAUAGUAAGUUUUAGUUAAUUAAUGGUGUUAUAAAAUAAUGCGUAUGAUGCUUCCACGCAUAAUAUCUCUACAUGAGCGUCUUGAGAUCACUUUGCUUGUACUAAAUGCAAAAUGAGUUACAUCCAUAAUGUCCUCGAAAUAAGACACCCAACCUUAUUCUCAUAUUAUACAUCACUUAUACUAAUUACUCGAACUUGAUUAACAUAUAUCUCUAUAUAAAGUUCAAAUACUCGUACUUUUAAUCAAUAAAUCUUUUUUAUUGAAUGAUGAGUUUUCAUAAGCAAACCUCUCUCGUUAAGAACAAUUUUACUUAAUAAUAGAAUAUUUUAACAUUCACACAUCACCAGUUUUUUUUGGACAUAAUUGAAUAACGGAUCAAUUAAUAUAACUUUAUUGAUGAAUUGAUUUAAUUUAUUCAUACUGAUGAAUGGAAUCGAAUUAAAAGAGGAGAUUUUGAUUUGGCCAACGAACAACCUUAAAUCAACUCCCAAAAGUGAAUAUCAUAAUCAUUUGCAUGUGUUGUGUGGUGUAAAGUUAUUUCCAAAAGAUUUUUUGUUACCUUUUCGCUUAAACUGACCAUAAAUAGUCAUCAUAGGUUGACCAUAAGCAAAAUGUACUAUUUAUUACAUGAAUUUCACAUGAUAUUUAAUUAUUUUGUAGUAUCAAGCUACUUGAGCAAAUCAAAGAAAUUAUAAUUAGAUUUAUGAUGAAAUGCAAGUAUUUAAUCGAGAUUUUUCAAAGUCUAAGUAGUAAAAGAAAAAAAAUCAAAUAGAAAUUCAAGAGUGUGACGUUUUAAUGUUCAAAAUAACGUCAAGAUGCUUGUAGAAGUAAAUUAAAACCGCUCAACCAUUGAAAAUUGAAUUGAAUUAUUUUAAUAUAUAGUUUGAAACUUGAUUUUAAAGCAACAUGUUAGAUUAAGGAAAUUAAUGACAAUAAGACAUAACUUGGGUGGCCUAGUUUCACAUGGCAUGAUUAGGAAUUUGGCAAACAUUUUCUGAAAGGAUGAACAAUGGGAUCCACCCAUUCUCCAUUUGUGGCAAAUAAUGUUGAGCUUUGGCAUAUAAUUAUAUGUUUUUGUAUGUGAAUUAGUCCAAAUAAUGUGUUUGGAUACAUACUUACUAUCAUAGUUUUGGGAUUAGCGAUUUGUGGGUGCCUAUCAUUAAUUAAGGUUGUCCCUUAAUUGUUAUUUGUUGUAUUUAUUUGUGUUACAUUAUUCAUAGUCACACUUCAAUAACUAAUUAAAAGAUAGGUGAACAACGAAUGAAAUUUUUUUAAAAUGAGAGUGGUUAGUGCAUUACCUUUAAUUUAGAAAACAAAACAAUUAUUUGAAGAGAUGUCAGUACAUAUAAUCAUUUAUCAAUAUCUCCAUGUCUUUUCGGCAUACCCACAUUUUUUAGACAUUAACUAUUUGACUAAGCACAAAGAACAUUACUUAAGAAAAUGGAAAUUAAUGAUAAUUGUGGGCAUAAAUGACGAGUGAACAUAACUUUUAAUAAGAAGUGUGAAGAAAAAAUGAAAAAUAUUACUGAAAGAAAUAACUAGUAGUUAACAAAUAAAUCAAAACUCUUUUCUAAACAAAUUAUACUAACCUAUAUAACAUUACAAAAAUAAUUAUCAUGCAAGAGAACCUCUCUUACCUAGUUGUACAAUCUCUUGGAAUAAGAGUAGGUGACUUGAAGGAUGGUGUGACAAGAAGCAUAUUUGAACGAGCGAAAACGAAAAAAGCCUACAGAUUCACAAUAAAAAAUAAAAAAAAUGUCUUAAUUAAUUGGCAUCCGACACGCAUAAUAUAUUUCAAAAACCAUCGUUUAGUAUUUGAGACAUCAUCAUUUAGAUUUAAUCGUUUAGAUUUGGUAAUGUUACGUUGUUGGUGCGACAAACUCUUAUAGGCCAUGGAGCACUCUUCAAGCCACCUCUGAACUGAACACGUCAGUGGAGGAGAAAAGGUACAAAAGUAUGAGCAAUGACACUAACAAUUGCUUAGCUUACUCUUUGAUGUAAUUGGAAUAUGAGUAAUAUUAAUUUGGCUUAGUCUCUUACUCUUUGGCAAAUACUAAAAAUCUUGACUAGCUUACUCAAAACACAUUGUACAAUUUGGUUGAACAUGGACCUGCCCAUGAACUUGGACAUUGCUUUAGUGGAUCCUCAAUAAAUGUUUACUAUUUUUACAAUAUAUAGAUUGGAAAAUCCAGUCUCUGAUUUUAAUAUUCAACGUACAACUAUUAGUUAAAUUUGAUAACCCUCAACAAAUAGUGUAUAAUAAACCAGUGAAUCAAAUUCGUGUCAAUAAAAUAGAUAUCAGUUGGUUCCAAAUUAAAACUUGGACGAUUGAUGUUUAGGACUGCAUUGGUCAAGACAGUUGCACACCUCUCGAUUUGCAUAUUUAUUUAUUUGUGUCAUUUUCGUCGGUAUGUUUGUAAUUGACACUUUGCAAUAAAGAAAAAAGAAACUAAAAUAAAAGGUACAUACUUAAUUUGUUUAAGAGAAACCCGUGACCAAAAGGGGAAAAUUAAUUAAGAGGCUGAUCAUCAUGUAACUGCAUGGAUUAUAUUAAGCAAUAUAAUUUAAUUAAUUAAUAAGCUUCUUAACCAAAAACAGCACUCAUCCUAUUCCUUCCACAUGUUAUCAAUUUAAAACUCAACAUUAUCCCAUCAAUUGUGCCUUCUUUUCGUCCAACAUUUUUCUUUUAAAUACAAUGUUUAGUAAACCAUGUGCUCCUAAUUUUCAUUAUAAUGUUGGUAGAUGUAGAUACGAUUGGCAGUUUUUUUAUUUAUAAAAAAGUCCCUCCCCUCUUUUCUUUUCCAAUAAAUAGGUGUUGUUGAAAAGAAUAUUUAUUAAGAAUCAAACAAUUACAUUUAUAUGUAUAUAUAGUACAACAAACGACGGGUGUGGAUGACGUUAAACUUUCGUCUUUCAAGAACAAAAGUUGUUAGUCAUUUCAUCCUUAAAAGCUAAAUGGUUAGAUAUAUCGUUCUUAUACUUCAUGGUUCCUACUAAAGUUGUUAGUGAUUUGAAGAGUGCAUUUCGUGGAUUAAAGCCGUCAUGAGGUGCAAAAAUUUAUUAGCAGGAUCUUUUCUCACAUUAAAUUGGGAAUUAGAAAAACACACAUACAUUGAAAAAUUUACGGAAACAAAUUUAGUAUAUAUAAGGUAUUGGCUAAACAUGCUUUUCAUAAUAGAAAAAAAUUACAAAGAAAAAGAAAAUUACAUUUUCCUUGUCAGAAUCCUACCAAACUCCAAAUUGUAGAUCACCACCACUUAGAAAUAUUUUGGAAGCAAUUGAAGUUCUACGUUUGUGGGAACCAAAAUGAAUUUGGAAAGAAUAAUUUAUUUUUUUUUUCAUUUUUGAAAGAGGUAGAAAGAGUUUAGUUCAUCCCAAUUAUUGCAUCAUUUCUCUGCAUUACUUACUUCCACAGUUAAGAGUAUCGUAAUAUAUGGUCAGUGUAACAAAAUGAAAACUUUAUGAAACUGGUCAUUUUAUAAAAUAUUUCAGGUUUACCCUUUCUUUUCAUCGUCUUUCUUUUCCUCCUUUUCUAUAAUUUCUUUCUAUCGUUUUUGUCUCUUUGUCUCCAAUUUUUCUUUUAUUUUUUUCAAACUGUUAUUUGGUUGUUACAAAUAUAAAAUAUCAUAUAAAACUAAUUGGGAUAUUUGAUAGCUAAAUCUAAAUAUAAACUAGUACAAAAAAAUCGUUCGAAUUUGACAACCCAAAUUUAAACUAUUAACGUAAACGUAAACGAUUAUGUACAAAAAAAUUUAUGAAAAAAUUUGUUUAGAUUUGACUACUUAAAUUCAAAUUUAAACAAUCAAAUUUAAACGAGGGUAACAAUAAAAUCUUUAAAAAAAAAUUGUUUAGAUUUGGAAAGUCAAAUGUAAACGAUCGGUAGGAAAGAAUAUCUAAAUCUAAACGAUAUUUUUCUAAAUAUAUUACACGCAUUGGAUGUCAAUUAAUGGAAACAUUUUUUAAACUCCUCACUAUAGGCUUGUGAACUUUUUAAAAUUAUUAUAUACUGUGGAAAUAUUUUGGGUUAUAUUUUUUAAAAUUAAAUUAAUAAUUAAUAAAAUUAUAUUUAAGUAAUAUUUCAUUUAACCUAUAUUUUUAAUUUAAUUAAAUCUAGAAUCAGCUCAAACCUACUAUUUAAAUUCCAAAGAAUUUGUACCUCUUCCAAAAAUUUAAUUUUCUCUUAUGUUUGACUAAGCUUACCAAACUUCAAAACUUUUAAGAAAUUUCUCGGUUUCACAAUCUUGUAUAUUAAUUAAACAAUCAAGACCAAAUUAAAGGAUUAGAGAACACAUAGAAUUGAAAGUAAAAUUAAAAUUCGUUCUUGAACAAAUAUUAAAGAAUCCAACAUGCUAAAUUUGAAGAAAAAUGGAAUGAAACUCUCAAACAAAUUGAAUACCCACUGGCUUCUUAGCUCUUAGAACAUUACCCCUCCCUUAACAUUUUACCCUUUUUUUUUUCUUCUCUCGGAAAUGAUUGAUGUAGAUUGACUAAGUGUUUCAAUGUACGACAAACACGAGACCAAUGUCCAGUCAUACCACAUCGGUAGUAUUAUUCUUCAUCACUUUUUGAAUUCUUAUUUUCUGGAGCUUUCCCUUUAUAAUCAUCAUUCCGUAUGGUUCUUUUAAAAUUUGGAUUAUAAAAAUUACCAACACGAAAAUAAUAAUUAUUUCACCUCUUUCACGGUCUCUACCUCCCCAUGACCAUGACCAUGAUCUCAUCCAUGAUUAAGAUUCACAACAUUCGCUUUAGGGAAUGGUGUUGUUCUAUUUGGUUGGGAUUCGUGAUUUCUCAUCAACAACUCGUUAUUUUGUUCGAAAACAAGGAGACAUGAGAUGAGUUCAAAAUAUUUUGUAAAACCUUUCUCUUGAUAUUGUUAUUACAGAAGCAUAUUCGAGAUAUGAAAAGUAAAAAAUGCCUUUUACAACAUGUCCAUAUCAGUAAUUAUUUCUCCACAUAACAACAAUUUUGAACUAAUCUUAAAUAAUCCAAAAUUGUAAUCACUUACUGAUUUAAAAUCUUGUAGCCUCAAAUGUAUCUAAUCGUAACAGGCUUGAGGAAUAUGAACUAAUUUUAAACGAUCAUACAUUUCUUUCAAUUUAUUCCACAACGUAUAAGAAUCUUUUACUGUUAAAUAUUCUAACUUUAAAUCCUCUUGAGUGUGAUGACCAAGGAAAAUCACGGCUUUUUCUUUCUCUUGAUUGAUCGUUUCAUUUUCUUCUUUAAUUAUAUUUUUGAGAUUCAUGGUGUCUAGAUGCAUUUCAGCAUCAAGAGCGCACAACAAAUAAUUGCUACCGUUAAUGUGAAAAGUCAUAAAUUCUAGUGUCACAAGAUUUUUCAAAUGGUAAUACUAUCAUAAAAUAUUGUAAUUAUAUUAUGAAUUUAAUAUAUAUUAAAUAUGCAAAAUAAUACUUAAUUUAUUAAUUAUAACGAGUAGGGGAAACUUGACAUACUGUUAGGACCUACCUUCGACGGAGGAGGCGACCGGAGCUCGUGUUGAUAACUUGUGUAAAAACAAGGCACAACCGAAAUACAAAAAUUGAGAAAAUAUAAUAAUAAAAUAAUAAAAUAUGAUAAAUAAAUAAAUAAACAAGAAAAUUAAGAAAAUGUAAAAAAAAUUCACUUUCUUCCACUUUCGUGAAGUUCUCUCUGAAUGCGUUCUUACAAAUUCACCAAAACCCUCUAUUUAUAAGAAAAAUGACAAGUAGGUGGUGGAUUACUUGGUCACUUUUUGAGUACUUGACACAUAGACGAACGAGAAAAUUUUAUUUGGACACUAAGUGUAUGUAAGACUAAAACAUAUGACUUGAUUAGAUAACCGAGAUUUAUAUAUUCAUCUAAUAUUUAUAAUAUAUUAGAUUUAAAGACGUAAUAAACAUAAAAUUAAAAUUUUAAUUUUAAAGAUAUUUAAACACAAAAGUUUAAGUCUAAGAAUCUAAUAUAUACAAUAAUAUAAUUAAUUGUUGAAUGCUUUUUUAAAGUUUAAAACUAAAACUAACCAACCAAAAACCUAGAGAACCAAACCUGUAAUUUAGAUUUUAUUACUAACAUUUUAGUCUCAUCAUUCAUUUAUUUUUAUUUCAAUAUUUAUUUAGUUCGAUAAUCACAACUAGAAGUAUCAAAUUUAAGAAUAUAUAUUUUAACUAGUUGAACUUAGUUUCCAUGGAUCUAAAAAGUUUCUUUUACUUUAGUUUUUUUAUAUAAAGAUAUAUAGAUUCUUUCUCGUGUAUUUGCCAUCUAAUUAAAUUAGAGCUUUACAUUCUAAAAUUUUUAUAACAUCCUAGCAUGCAUACUUGAGUAUUUCUUAAUUCAACAACUAUCACUAUAUUUUGUGAAAGUAAGCUACUUCAACGGUGAUUAUACUCUCCAAGAAAUUCAGUUUCUAAUAGCAAGAAAAAGUAUAAUACUUAUAACCAAAGUAAUGCUCAAACCGCCAUUGUUAUAUUGUUGUUACACCUACAUAGCAAACUCAAUUAAAUUAUUCAAAUACUUUUAGUUUUACCAACUAGACUAAUUGAAAUAUAGUAUGUGUUAGUUUUAAAAUUUCCACCCUAUUGUAUUUAUAUAUUAAAAAAACAAGAUGAAUCGGUAAUAUUUGUGAAUAUUCUAAGACGUUUAUUGUUUAAAAUAAAUUUCUCAUAAUCAAAAUUGAAUUCAAGAAGAAAAAAGAAAAUUUUGAAAUGAGAAAGCUGGAAGAUCCAGUGUGUGUUUGCCAUUGUUAAACGGCAGCUUGAAGGCUUCAAAUGGGUCGGGAGAAGCCAAGAGGAGAAUUUUAAAUUGCAGAAGAAUAAAGAAGAGAGUUCAUCAAAUACUCCAAAAGGUAUAAAUGGAUGGAUUGUCUUCGUAAUUGUAAUUCUAAUUGUAAUGUAACCGUUUUGCUUUCUGCUGUGUCCGUUUCUUGUCUUCUUUGGUUCUGCCUCUCUUUGCUACGGCCGGCCGGCCUGGUUUCCCCAAUAUAGUAGAAACGUAAAUCGCUAUAAAUUCUAUAACCCAAGACUCAUUCUUCCUCGAUUUGACUGGCCUUUUCUUUUGUUUUUUCUUUCCACUUUGUUAUUGUAUUUUUUUUAUAAUACUUCUUCUUUCUUUACUCUCAUUCUUUUGUGAGUCUGUGAUUUUGAUCGAGAUGAACGAUUUGCUCACGGUAAUUUGUGCUUUUGUUUGUGGGUUUUCUGUACUUUGCUUUUGGGAUUGCUUAAAAGUGGAUUUUUCAUACUGGCCUCUGUUUUCCUGUUUCAUGAAAACUUUUCGGUGUUUUAGUUGUGUGUUUUGAAUUUUGUCAGUUAUUACGAUUUUAAGAUUCUGCUAGUGUGCUUACCUUAAUUUUAGCCCUUUGAAAUGGUUUACAAUUUAUUUAGAUGCAAUAUAGUUGGUUUGUGCCAUCCAAUGUAGUUGUUAGUGUUACGGUUUGUAGUUCCUAUCUAUCAAUCCAAACAUGGCUGUAUUGCAUUCUUUUGUUUCAUGAAAUUGAUUGGUUUUGAGUUUGUUGGUUCCCUUUGGCAGUCAUAAGUUUCAUGGUGAUCUUUUAAUGAAGAUUAACGUUCACUUGGAUUUUCUAUCCUUGUGUUUGAUUUGAAAAGAAAAGCAAUUUAUAUUUCAAAAGUAGGUAGGAUGAAUGUUUCUAGAAUUCGAUCUCAAUGUGAAAUUAUUGAUUUGUUACUCAUUCUAUAUUCUUGUUAUCUCCCUCUUAGUAGGAAUAGCUUGAUUAAUUGGCUACCCAAAAAACUUUUAUGAUGGGUUAUCGUGUUCUUUAUCAUAGGAUUCAUUUGUUAGCAAUGCCAAAGUCGAGUCUUCUAGAGAAAUUGAUCUCGAGAAGGGAACUCGAGUUCUGCGAAGCAAUUCUGACAUGGGAAUGGAGGCCUUCAAUAAGCAGGUGUAACCAUGGAGUAAUUUCAUUUUAUUUUCUCCCUUCCCCUUUGCUUUUGUACCCUUGUGGGACUUUGUUUGUUCUUUUAUAGCCAUCCUUUUAGCUUUCACUUCUUUUGCCCAAUUUUUCUUCUCUUCUUUGAGGUCAGAUACAAGACGUCGAGGUUCAAGUAGAUAAGCUCGCUGGGCUUCUUAUUAAACUGAAGGUAUGUAUGAUUCAUUAUUCUUUGAAUCUUGAUGAACUGAAUUCUGAGGAAUGACCACAUACUCUUUUAUAGGAAGCUAAUGAAGAAUCGAAGUCUGUUACAAAAGCAUCAGAGAUGAAAGGUAUAUGUUUAUCCUUGUCUUAUGUCGAGUGGCACAAACAUUAACAAAAGAGAAUGUAAAUUUAUGUCCUUUGAAUUACUUAUCUGCAGGUUAGGUUAAGGUUUAACCAAACCACUAAGCAUGCCUAUGUAAAUCUUUCAAUCCAUAAGGCUCCAUAAUAAGUCAAUUUACAUCAAUUGUGAAUACUCCUUUUCUUCUUGAGCAUUUGUUUCAGUCUUGGUACCUACAUGUCUGCUUUCGCUAACGGCACUUGUCAUUUCAGCUAUCAAAAAGCGAAUGGAAAAGGAUAUUGAUGAAGUGGGAAAAAUAGCGCGCAAUGUCAAGGGGAAGCUGGAGGCUGUAAAUAAAGAUGUAAUACAGGACUUGCUCCAAGAUUUUCAUAACUUGUUUGGCUUCUUUGUUGUUGAAGUUUUCUCAAUUAUUUGAAGAACAGUUGCAUAGUAAUUCAGUUUUCUUCUCUCCAGAACUUGACCAAUAGGCAGAGGCCUGGGUUCGAGAAGGGAACGGCCAUUGACCGAGCAAGAAUGAACGUGACAAAGUUUGUUGCCAAUAAACAUUUUAUUUUUGGAACUCUUGUUUUGGAUUGAUAAUGUUCCUUAUGGUAGAAUUAUGUUCUGAAUGGCAGUGCGUUGACAAAAAAGUUCAAGGAUCUGAUGAUAGAAUUUCAGGUAUUUUGAAAUCUCCUUGUUAUUAUUUGAUGAGUGUUUGCCUAAUACCCUUGCCUCUUAUCCUUGUAUCAUGUUUAAGACUCUUCGUCAAAGAAUUCAAGCUGAGUACCGUGAAGUCGUGGAAAGACGAGUGAUUACAGGUUCAAAUGCUUCUAUUACUAGAUUGUCAAAAUUAUGGUUAUGAUUAAUUAUGUGCAGAAAUAUUAUAGUUAUCCUUUUCUUUCCCUCUUUUUGAUGGCUGAGGCUGACUAAUUUUCUGAUACAAACUUUAUCAUUAUGGGCCUUUAUUGAGCAGUUACGGGUACCAGACCAGAUGAGACGGUAAGCUUAUCUUUUAAGUCUAAACUUGAAAUUUGAGAACAAAUCAAAUUUUUUGUCUCUGACUGGAAUUUUAAUGAAAUAUUAGACUAUUGAUCACCUAAUAGAAACUGGAAACAGUGAGCAAAUAUUCAAGAAUGCAUUUGAACAAAUGGGACGAGGACAGGUACGCUGACCGUAAGUAGGGUUUAAGUUAAAUUCAUUGUACUCCAGAAAGUAUAACUUCAAACUGUAUUCGUCCCUGUUUCUUUGACUAUCCAAUAUUCGAGUGAUUGACUAUGACCACUCUUAAUUUUCCACUCUUUACAUAGGUUAUCAGUACUGUGGAAGAAAUUCAAGAGCGACAUGAUGCAGUUAAAGAGAUCGAGAAAAAGCUCUCGGAAUUGCAUCAGGUAUAUAUUAUCUCUUGGAGCUACAAUGAAAGAAGAUCCUCAGUAGUCUUAUGUGUUUCUCUUUUCUUGGUCAGAUUUACCUUGACAUGGCAGUUUUAGUGGAAGCCCAGAGUGAAAUUUUGGAUAACAUAGAAAAUCAGGUUUGUCCUACCUCUAACUCUAGGUAUGUAUAUAUAGUUUUCGUCGGUCGGUCCUAGGUGUUGACGAGCUCUCAUCCAGAUUAAGAAUGUAGUUAAUCAUGUCCGAGGAAGACUUCGCUUCAAAAGGAUGUGGAUUGCUAUUACUGUUCUUCUUUUCAUAGUUGCUGUUGUAAUUUCUUUGUGUGAUCCAACCAUAGAAGAAUGAACAAGAGAUCUUUUUUGGCCAUUUUUUAUAUCUCCGUUUGCUCAAUAUGGAAAAUGGUUAGUAGAUGAAUGGUGGAGUCAGUCGUGCAGAAUAGUCAUUUUGUGCAUAAUUCUGCUAAGUUCAAAUUGAUUAAGUUGAAUAUCUUUCAUUUUAUUUUAUUGGAUUUCCAACAUUUUCGACAUAGGUAACGAACGCAGUCGAUCACGUUCGAACGGGAACGGAUGCACUCCAAACCGCAAAGAGCUUACAGAAGAGAUCAAGAAAAUGCAUGAUGAUUGGCAUCAUAUUGCUGCUGGUUAUUGCAAUUAUAAUCAUCCUCUCAGUGCUGAAGCCAUGGAAGAAGUAAGCGAUGGAAAUGAUAUACCAAAAUGUGGACUCAGUUUCACAUUUUCCAUUGCUUACUAGAGUGUCCCUUCGUUGUAGAAAUCGUCAUCUCCUUCAAUUACAAAUUUUAUUUUGUUUUAUCUCAGAAUACAUAGAAGGCUUUUGUUUUAUUUUUAAAAAAAUUACCAUCUCCUUGGUAGAGAAUUUAAUAACAGAAAUUUGAAAAUAACAAAUUUAAUGAAAGAAAAUUGUAUUUUGUAUUUUUUAGAUACGCCUUUGGAGCAUAUUAAAAUGUUAAGUUCUAAUUUAAACAACUCCAUAGAAUGUGUCUGGUAACGGACUAAUCUCUAAAUUUUUAAUAGUAAAAAUUGAACUUUUAAACUUUAUUAAAAUCAAACUCUCAAACGUUCGUACUUACGUAUUUAUAGAAAUUAUAGUAAUUGUAUUGAUUGAUAGUUUUAACCUUUAGUGCUUCUUAUAAAUAUAUGAAUAUAGGUUUUAAAAAUUAGGUUUAUAGGCUAGACUUCUUAUUCUUGCAAUAAUGACAACAAGUUGAAUCUAUGAAGUUUAAGAAAAGUAUGGAUACGCUUAUACCUUUGAUACAUUAUUAAUAUACUGUUGAUACACUAUUGAUAUAUAUUUGAUACACUUGAUACUCUAAAAAGUCACUUCUACAAAAUAAGAAAAGUAUUUGACACACUUUCAAUAUCUUAUUCUUAAAUUGUCACUAGUUGCAAAUGUUUUAAAUUUUAUCACUUCGGACAAUCUUAUUUCUACAACUAUUAUACGAACGAGGUUUUAAUUUCAACAUUUGUUAGAAGUUUGAAGGUUUUGUUUUUACAAUGGCAAAUUUGAGAGUGUAACUAUGAUUACCAUCAUCUUUUGUAAAUAGAUUUCAAUAAUUAUGAUCCUAUCGAUCUAUAAAAUAUAUCCGAUAUACUUGUGAUAAAAAAUGAAUAUACUCUUUUAUAUAUAUAAUAUAUGCCACCGAUAGGAUUUUCAUGUUGGUUAUAACAUUCUAGCAUGGUUUAAGAAAAAGUUUAGUCAAAAUGGUUGUUAAUUGCCACCUAAACAAUAUUAUAUAUUCUAAGCUUAUAAUUUACUUUCCCUCUAAAAAGAAAAGAUGCUCUUAACUAUACACUCAUCACGUCUUUCAUAUUAAGAAUAGAUUUAUAUUUUCAUUGUUGGUAAGUGAUCUUAACUAACCUAUAUUCUUCACGUAUCAUAAAUGCAAAAUAAUAAUAAUAAUAAUAAUUGAAUGUGAAAGUAUUUACACGCUAUAAAACAAUUUUGUAAAAGGAAACAUAAAAUAACCAAAAUAUCCACGAUUGCGAAAGAUGAUUUUGUAUCCAUCUAAACGAUCUUACUAUGUGAUCUUGUACUAAAUAUAAACGAUAUUGGUACACGAUCUUGUACCAAAUAUAAACGAUUGUUUGAAUAAUUCACUUAUCUAUAUUCUUGUCUACUUUGGAUAGAUAUUGACUGAUCAUUCAUACAUUGGUACAUGAUUGUAUAGUGAAGAAAGAACAAAGAAAAAAGAACAGAAAAAGACACAAUAUCUUAUAAUGAAAAAAGAAUUUAAAAAAAUAGUCCAUAAAAAAGAUGAUGUUGAAGAUGGAAGAUAACAGAGAAGGAAUAAAUUUGAAAGAGAAGAAGUUUUGGAAAGGUAACGAAAAAGAAUAAUAAUAAUAAAAUAAACAAAGUCUACAACCAUUCAAAAUACGUCAACAUGAAGAGAAGUUAGUAUUAAUAAAAUCUCAUAAUUAUUCAGCUAAUGUUUUGAAAAUUAAACAUUCAAACCUUUGGCCUGUUCAACUAGAGGAACUAAUUUAUGAGAAUAAUAUUAAAUUAAAAGAUAUGUCAAUUCAAAAGAAAAAUGUAAUUGUCAGCAUUGAAGGAAGACGUAGAAAAUUAGUUGACAAAGAAACUCAGAGUUAUGAAUGGAUUGUAUUAUGACCCCCUUUGCUUGUGCUGUGUUCUAUCUUCUAUGUGUUUGCAGUGCUGUCCUUUGACUUGUCAUCCUAUGACCUCGUCUACUCAAAAUAGUUGAAAUGUAAAACAUGCAUUCAUUAUAAAAUUUUGUAAAUCCAACACCCAUUCUUCCUCAAUUUCCUGCCCUUUCUUUCUUUUGCUCAUUCAAGUUUAACUAACACCCAGGCUAUCGUCAUGAUUUUCAGCAACUUCAUCACGGUAUUUUCUUCUUUCAUUAGUGUGUUUCCUCUAACCUUUAGAGAUUGAAAUGAGUGGAUUUUGAAUCUUUGAGCUUCUUGUUCCAUGAGAGCUUUUGUUGAAUUUGUUGUCUGCUUUUCGGUUUAUGAUUUUGGUUGUCUAAACUCAUAGUUUAUUUGGUAGAAUUUCAACUUUUCAGAGAGGAUUCCCAGCCCACUUCUUCUUUUAACUUGAAAGAUCCAAAUCAUUGGUUUUAGGCUGCUGCCAUUGUGGCUGUAAUUGAGCCUGGUUCCUGCUCUAUUUGAGCUUACUGUUGAGUCUUGAGAAAUGAAUUGGGUGUUUAGAAAAGAAAGUUCAAAUAUUUAGAAAAUUUUACAUAAAUUUGCAUGGUUGCAUUUCCUUUAUUUCGUAAAAUUUAUUGGUUUUUAUAUUUUUAUUGUCCUUGGCACUUGGCAAGUUCCAUUCUCAUAUUUUAGGCAACACUUUCGUUUUCAUCCUCAAUUUAUACCAUCACUUAAAUUUUAAUCAAAUGGUUUAUAGGACAACUCAAAUUAAACAUAGCUAAAACCAACCAUAGCUUAACUCAACUUAUAUUUGAGUGUACUAAUAACCAUGAACACCAUAGUUUCAAUCCCCCAACCCAGCAUUUUUGUACUAAAAGAAAACAUAGCUAAGCACCCAUUGCCUUCCUUAAGUUUGAAUGUUCAAUCCACAUCUUGUUAUUAGUGCUUAUAAAUUUGUGUUCUAUUUCUAUGCAGUAGAAUGUGCUUGACUAUUCAGCUAAUCAAAGAUUUUUUUUUCUGACAUGUUAUGAUCAUGUUCUUUGCCUAAGGAACCGUUCAUCGUCCGUGAUGCCGAAGGUCAGGCUUCCGAAGAAACAGAUCUUGAGAAGGGAACUCAAGUUCUUCAGAGCAAUUCUGAUUUUGUAAUGGAUGUGUUCAAUAAGCAGGUGUACUCAUGGAGUAGUUUCAUUUGAUUUUCUUUACUUCUCUCCCUCUUUUUACACUAUUGAAAUUUAGUUUUUUUUCUUUUACAGUUACCCUUCGAGUUUCAACUUUCUUACCUACUUUUUCUUCUCUUCUUUGAAUACAGAUUCAAGAGGCUGAGAUACAAGUGGAUAAGCUCUCUGGACUUCUUAUUGACUUGAAGGUAUAUACAAUCACUUCAUUUCACAAGUUUCUGAGUUCGAAUGAACUUGAUCGCAAUCAAACUUCUGCAGACUUUAUUGAAAGAUGCCAAUGAGGAAUCGAAAUCUGCCACAAACACAUCAGAGAUAAAAGGUAAAUUUUUUUUGGAGUUGUUAGCUAAGCGAGUGGUUGAGCUUUGGCCAACCAACUAAGCUUGUAGCCUAUGCAGACCACUUAUGUAGAGGUUCCACAUCCCAAAAUACUCAUCAAUUGUGAUUACUUUUUCUUAAUUCCGGCCAUAUAUAUUCAAUCUUAAUUAGUACCAAAUUACAUGAUCUACUGGCCUUCUGAGGUUUCUUGUCAUUCCAGCUUUUAAGAAUCGGAUCGAAAAGUAUAUCGAUGAUGUGGGAAAGAACACGGGUGAAGUUAGAGGGAAGCUACAAGUUAUAACCAUAGAUGUAUGUACUGCUGGACCUGCUUUAAGAUUUUCCAAAUUUUUUUUCGUUUUUUUCCCUUUUUAUUGGAGUUUUCACUUAGAUUUGAAAAGCAGUAGGAUAUUGAUGAAAUUUUCUUGAAUACAGAACGUAUUCCAUAGGCAGAUGCCUGGGUGUGAGAAGGGAACUGCCUGUGACAGAGAAAGAAUGAAUUUGACAAAGUUGGCACUUAAAACUUUAAUCUUGAACGAUUAUUUUGGAAUGAUAUUAUUCCUUAUAGUAAAGCUUUUUUUUUUCUUUCUAAAUGGCAGUGUGUUGACUAAAAAGCUCAAUGAAGUGUUGACUGAAUUUGAGGUAUUUCGAAUCCCCUUCGUUUAAACUUUUGGGUUGAUAAAUGGUUUAUAUUGUAUCACACCAAGAUGCCUAUAUUGUGUCUUCCCAUGAAUUUUUGAAGCUCACAAGUUUUAAGGAGUGUUAGUUGGAAACGUGUGAUGAACGCCCCAAAUAAAUUAUUUUAGGGAAAAUAAAAACAAACUUAUUAGAAGACUUUAACUCUUUUUUUGUGUGUAUUCUACUUCACACUUGAAUGAUUUAGAUUACAACAUUUCAAUCCUAUUUAUAGGUUUGUCACGAGCAUAACUCAUACCACAAUUAAACACAACAAUUUAAGUCCUACACUUAAUUGAGAUGUGAAACUCUUACUAAAUUAACUCUAACAUCUUUAACUCACAUCCUUUGAUUUUUUUAACUCACAUUAAUCAAUUACAUAUAACUUAUUUAUUUGAAAGAGAAAUUAUAUAGAUAACAAAAAAAAAAAAAAACUAGAAAUAAAAGUAACUCAUACCACCUUUAUUUUGCAUAUUGCAAAUAUGACAAGUAAUUAGUUAUAUCAUAUGACUAUAGAGGCUAUCAAAUGGUUAUCUGCUUUUAAAUUUGCUACUUUUACCAUUUAAAAAAAAUAUAGUGAUCACAUGGGUUUUAUUAUCAUAAGCAUUUUUGCUAUUUUUGCAAACGCCCCUAUUUAAAACAUGUUUAAUUAUGAGCAUUCUCCCUAUAAACAUGUUUUUUGAAAAACUAAUAAACAUGUUUUUUGAAAAACUCCAAGCAAAGUUCUUAAUUCGGCUUCGUGAAAAUAUUUGCAAUUUGAUCUUUAGUCUUUACAUAUUCAACUUGAGCCUCCUUCCUUGAAAUGCAAUCUCUGAUGAAAUGAAAUCUUGUAUCAUUGUGCUUGCUACAAUCAUGAAACACGAGAUUCUUUGCUAGAGCAAUUGUUGACUCAUGGUCUACAUGGAACACAGUUGGAUCAUCUUGCAAAAUUCCAACUGUCUUUAACAAAUUUCUUAACCAAACUACAGGGAAGGCACAUGAAGCUGAAGCAACAUAUUCUACCUCACAAGUGGAUAAUGUCACAAUAGGUUGCUUUUAGAACUCCCAAGUAAAUGUAGUAUUACCAACAAAGAAAACAUAUCCACUAGUGCUCUUUCGAUCAUUAGUAUCUCUAGCCCAGUCAUUGUCACAAUAGCCUUCAAGCUUGAAUUCUUUAGAUGAAUAGUAAAAUAACCCAUAGUCAAUCGUACCUUUAAGGUAACAAAGAAUUCUCUUUGCCUCUUUCAAAUGAGUAGUUGUAGAAGAUUCCAUAAAUCGACUCAUCAAUCCAACGCUAAAAGAAUAUAUGGUCGUGUGCAAGUCAAAUAUCUCAAAAUCUCAACCAAAGUUUUGAAAUAUGAAGGAUCAACAUCUCCUUCUUCAUAUUUGGACAGUUUGGUCCCAGUUUCAAUUGGAGUUGUGAUAGACUUAGAAUUUAUCAUAUUGAACUUCUCUAGAAUUUCUCUAGUAUAUCGUUCUUGAGAGAUGAAAAUACAUUCCUCUGACUACUUCACCUCAAUGCCAAGAUAAUAUGACAUCAACCCUAUCUCUGUCAUUUCAAAUCUUUGGGUCAUUGCCUUCUUAAAAUCUUCAACUAACAUACUCCCAAAAUUUCCUUUAAAAGUUAAGUCAUCCAUGUACAAACAAACUACCAAAAUAUCUCCAUGACUAUUAGUCUUAAUAUAAAGAGAAUGUUCAUAAGGACAACUCAAAUACCAGUUAUGAAUAAUUAUUCUGACAGAAAGAACUUGGUUUGAUCGAUCCACAAAAAUCCGUGUGAACUAACUCUAGUGGUCUCCUUGCUAUUGAAGAUGAUUCUUGUGGAAAACUCUUCCUUGAUUGUUUGUCGUAAAGACAACCUUCACAAAAUUGAUCUGGAUGUUAGACAUAUGGAAACCCUUUCACCAUGUCUUUUCAGGCUAAUAGUCUCAAGCCAUCAAAGUUCAAGUGCUCAAAUCACAAGUGCCAACUGAUCCAAUUUGGAUCUUUCAAACCGCCGAUAGGUGUGGAAACCCAUCUAUAUUGCACCCUGUAUGACACAGAAAAAAAGCCCAAGGCCUUGGGGUCGGGUGGGGCUCGUUCGGAGUGCACAACGGUUGCGCCAAAAAGGGUCCAAAAAUGGCCAAGGCUUUAUGAUUUUAAACAUUUAGCAACAUCAGUUUGAAUAUUUGAUAAAAAUAUUAUAUUUUUCGUCAUUUGCACUCUAGAAAUCAUAUUGUCAUGAUUAUCUUUUACCAAAAGACUAUAAUCCUUCAUCAGAAUAUUAUAGCUUUUCUCUAAGAGUUGUCCCAAACUCAAAAUGUUGUUCUUCAUAUCAGUCUCAUAAUAAACAUUAGAGAUGAAUUCAUGCUUUCCAUUCUUUAAAUUGAUCAAAAUUUUAUAUUUUCCUUUAAUUGGAUUUUUGCGGCAUCACCAAAUACGAUAUCACCACCAAUAGAUUCAUCAUGCUCCACGAACAUCGAUUUACUUCCACACAUAUGAUUGCUUUGCACCACUAUCGAGAUACCAUACAUUGUUUUCACACCUUUGCAUGCUAGAAGCAAAGAUGAAGCACCGUUUUAUUCAUCUUUCUCAGCAUAAUUUGCAUUUUCUUCAACUUUAUUUUUGCAUUUCAAGGAAUACUGACUAAAUUUAUGACAAUUAUAACAUCCAACCAGUCUUUUGUCAUACCUUCUGUCAUUAUUUGAUAUUUCUUCAUUUGACCUCAAAUAAUGUUGUCUUUCACAACCUCUUGAUGAAUUUGAGUUUGAAUUACACUUAUCAAAUUCUUUGAUCAUAGUUUCCUCAACCUCAACCUCGACCUCUAAAAUCACCACGUCCUUAAUUGCCACCACUUCGUCGACCUUAAUUGCCUUUUUCUAGGUUGUCUUUUAAUUUCAACUUUGACUAAAAAUGUUGCUCAGUAGUCUACUUGUUCCUCUUAAGAAGAUUCUCUUCGUGGGUUUUUAAAGAAGCUAUAGUUGAUCAAUGGACAUUGGACUCAAAUCAUUUGAUUCUUCAAUAGCUACGACAAUGAAAUUGAAUUUUUCAUCCAAUAACUGAAGUAUCUUUUCUACUAUUGCUCAUUACUUAUUAUUUCACCAUAUUUUUUCAUUUCAUUUACUAUUGCCAACAAUCUUGAAGUAUGAUAUGAAACUGAUUCAAAUUCCUUCAUAUGCAAUGAUUCAUAACCACCUCCUUUUUGAAGGAGAGCCUUCUUGACUUGAUCUACUCCUUCAUACAUAUUCUCUAAAAUUUGUCAUGCUUGAUGUUCAAUAGUUGCUUCAGAAAUUUUCUUAAAAUUUGAAUCAUUGAUUGCUUGAUGAAUGAUGGUGAUAGCCUUUUGAUCUUUUUUCUUUGUAUUUUGUAAUGUUUCUUGUUGAGUUUGACUCAAAACCGCAUCACUUUUUGGUUCUUCAAUACCAUUAUAAGUAAUGUCCUACACAUCUUGGAACCAAGUAAAGCUUUCAUUCGAAUACACCAACUAUUAUAAUUCUUUCGUAAGUUAAGGUACUUGGAAGGUAACUAAAUUGUUGUUUUCCAUUUGCAAAACAAAAUUUUAAACUCCAAACUCAAGCUCUAAUACCACUUUGUUGGAUGCGUGUUAUGAACACCCCAAAUAAAUAAUCACCAAAUAAAAUAUUUUAGAGGAAAUAAAAACAAAUUAAACUUAUUGGAAUGGAAGACUUUUAACUCUUUUUGUGUGUAUUCUACUUCACACUUGGAUGAUUUAGAUUACAACAUUUCAAUCCUAUUCACGAGCAUAACUCAUAUCACAAUUAAACACAACAAUUUAAAUGCUACAUUUAGAGAUGUGAAGCUCUUGCUAAUAAUUAACUCUUAACAUUUUUAACUCACAUCCUUCAAUUUUUUUAACUCUCGUUAAUCAAUUCACAUAUAACUUAUUUAUUUAAAACAUGUUUAAUUUUGUUGAAUAUCGAUAUAGAUUUUGGAUUGAUGAGUGAUAUAACACUUUUUGUUAUUAUCGAUACGAUUGUUUACCUUCAUCUUAUCCUUUAUCAUGUUUCAGGCCCUUCAUCGAACAAUUCAGGAUGAGUAUUGUGAAGUUGUGGAAAGACAAGUGAAUCCAGGUUUAAAAUUGCUCAACAACUACAUUGUCAAAAUUGUUGGUUCUAAUUGGUCGUGUGCUCAAAUGUCAUGAUUAUUCUCUUACUUCCCCUACUCAUGGCUGAGGCUAACGAAUUUUCUAUUUUGAACUUUUCCAUGAUGUGAUUUAUACAGUUACAGAUACAAGAUCAGAUGAGAUGGUAUGUUUAACUCAAAUCUAAACUUGAAAAAUAACAAAGUAAAAUAUUGUUGUUGCUGACCAAAAUCUAAAUCACCAUAUACCAGAUCAUUGAUCACCUUCUAGAAACUGGAAGCAGCAAGCAAAUAUUCCCCACUACAUUUAAACAAACUGAAGGUGGAAAGGUACAUUUUACAUUAGAAAGUACAUCGCUUCCAACUUUACAAAUCAGUGUUUGCAUUCUUGUUGUUGAUAAAUGGGUAGAAUACACUUUUGGACUUGUCACAAUUAACUCAACCUUCAUUCAUAUUUCUUAUCAAUUGAUACUCAGUGAAAUUCCUUAAUGAUCUUCAAUAAUUUGUCAUAAUGCAGAAGGUAACCGAUUUACCUUCGUACAGAUUUUUCACUAGAAAUAUAAACUUUGAACAGCAACUGUGAAGAAUCAUUUUACGUUCAUAGAACUUCUGCUUUUUAAAGAGCCAAAAAGAAGAACUUACAAUAAAAUAUGGAGCACUUGCAAAAAUGACAAAAUAAGUUAUAAUAAUUAAGUUCAUAGCACACACAUUUUAUUAUUUGCGAAAAUGACAAAAACAAAGUUCAACCCACACAUCAAGAUGUAAAAUGUCACAAAUGCACUUGUUACUAAUAUACAUUUGAUACACCUUAUACAUGUCUGAUACACCUAAUACACGUCUGAUACACUCAAUACAUUUGAUUGAUAUACUUGAUGCAUCUGAUACUCUUUGAUACACUCGAUACUAAAACAUACUAAUAUAUGUUUAAUACACCUGAUACACUGCAUUUACAUUUAGUAUUCUUCACUUAUACAAUUGAUUGAUUAAAUGCAUUUGAUAUGCUUGAAGUCAUACUUAUUCACUUGAUAUACUAUUGAUAUACACUUGUAAACUCGAUUCAUAUACUUGAUAAUGAUUCACUUUAUAGAUAUGCUUUAACAAUAUAUUAUUGAUAUACUUGAUAAUGGUACACUGAGUUACAUCAUUCAUAUACUUAAUAAUACACUAAUGAACUGCAUAAAAUUUGAAAAAAUGAAAAUCACGUAGUAAGUAUAUUAACCAACUAAUACAUAUAAUAUAAGUAUAUCACAACACUGACAUACGAAACUAAGACAAAGUAAAACAAAAAAAUUAAUGUAAAAUAAUAAAACAAAUUCAUUUGGAAUCAAAUUCAACUUAAAAUUCACAUCGAAGAAAGUAAAAAAAAAUCACAAAUGAAAUUAAAUUACUCCGAUCAACAAUCAUUAUAUUUCAUAUUGAAAAUAAUUUACCAUUGAUAUCCUAAAAUCAAGAUUAAAACAAGAAAUACAAAUUAUUUUUCUCGUAUAAAAAAGAAUGAUUAAGACCUUAAAAAAUGGGAGAAGAAAUCAUGGAUGAUUAAGGUAUUAAAAAGAGGAGAAUUUAAGAUGAAUAGUAUUUUAAAAAGUGAGAAUUUUGCCAUAUUUACAAAAUUUUAAAACAAUGUGCUAUAUUUGCUAUAUCAUAUUCUUAAAAUGCUACCCACUCACAAUUUUCCAAAUUUAAUAUGUACAUUGAAUAUUUCAAGAAGAUUCUAGGAGUUAGCGUUGUUAUAUACUUUAACAUAUUCUUCCUGACAAUUUUUAUUUUCUCCUUCCGUGUCACCACCACUUUAAUGUUUUGUAAAAACUACAAUGUUAUGACUAGAAACCUACCUGAAACUCUAGCAUUAAAAGUGUACUUUACUCCUAAUUGAUUAAGCAUGAUCAUUCCUAAUGUUUUACUCUGCGCAUUGAUUUAGGUCACAGGAACUAUGGAAGAAAAGAUUCAAGAGCAAUUUAAUGUCAUUAAAGAAUUUGAGAAAAGAUUCUUGGACGUGUAUCAGGUAUGUGUAUUUUCAUAUGAAGCAUAUGAUGUAAGAUUUUCAGUCAUAUCCUACAGAUUUCUCGUCUCUUUGGUCAGCUUUACGUGAAAACGGCUAUUUUAGUAGAGGGUCAUGCCAAGGUUUUGGAUAACAUGGAAAAUAAGGUUGGUUCUAUUCCUCCCUUCCUUACUCCUCAACUUCUUGUUUGGAAUUUCCAUAGUAAUUAUUAAAUGGGUAGUAGUUUUGAAACUUGAACUACUUAUGCACAUAGGUGAAGGAUGCGGUUGAUCGCAUUGAAAAAAUCGAUGAGAACCAGAAGAAACAGGAACUCAAGAAUAUGUCAGGAAACAACCUAAUGAAUUACUACUUAUACUUUAUGGUGGUUUUUAUAAUCAUUUACAUUCUGGAAGCUUCAAAGUAAUGAAAGAGGAAAUUGAUGGAAAUGAUACCAAAAAGUGAAGUCAGCUUAACUGCUAAAAGAAUGUUGUUUGCUUGAAGAAAUGUCAGCUCUCUCACCAUAUAAAUUUUAUUUCUAUUUUUUUUAAGUUUAUAAUUUAAAUAAGAGAAGCAAACCAGAAUAUGAUUUGUGUUUAAAUGUGGGUGUUUUACGCGUGUGACUUUCAAAUGCUAUUAGAAAAAUAUUGAACUUUGUUGCAAAAGUAAACCUAAAAGAUUCUUUAUUUUGACAUCUUCCAAAACUCUGGGGAGAUAUGAUUGGGGGAAGUACAAAUGUGGAGAAAGUGAGGGAUUUUCAAGCAUGUCUUAACAUAGACUUACACACAAAAAAAUGACCAUAUAGUAGUUAAGAAACCAUAAAUGUUAAUGUUCAUAAACUUCUUUCCCAAAAAUGAAAAAAAAACUCAAAAGUUACUAUUUGUUACAAAAAUUAAGAGUCACGAACACAGUUUAAUAAUAAAAUCUUUCAUUUUUUUUUCGACACUCCCUUGAUAUGAUUCGUUACACUAAUAAACUCAUUUUGAUCGGAUUUGGUAUAUUUGACUUUGUACCACAACUUUUUAUGUAGUAAAAUUGAGUAGCGACGCGUUUACUCCUUCCAUAAAAUAGUGGAUUUUUGGUCAAGACAAUGAUUUGUUUUCAUAAAAAUUAUCUCCAUUGGAUCUUUAAUUUGAGUUUUCAACUCAUUCAUAAAGUUUCUUAGACAAAUUGCACAAAUACUUGAAUUCUCCAAUGAUACUUUGGAAAGUGACAGAAAUUUCUGGCUUUUCAUUUCUUCUUGUUUCAUAAAGUUUGUAAAAAGAGAUGCAGUUUUUGUAUUGCAAAGAUACAUCAUGUGAUCUCCACAUUUUCAAAUGAAUAUGUAGUAUUGAACUAUCAAACUAACGUGAUCAAGUUUCAAGGUAUAGAAUUAACAGAGAAGAUUCGUUUUAGAAAGUAAGUUAUUUAUAAAUAUAAGGAGUUUACCAGUUUUAUGUUAUAUGGUGUACUUAAUUAAUUAUGUUAAAAACUAAACUUUAAGUUUAAACCUUUUUCAUGUUUUUCACUUUCUAGGAAGAGGGUCGUGAUCCCCAAACCUGACCUUCAGGUAACUAGCAAUAUAUCUUGUGGUCAGUAGUUCAAUAUAAACUAUGUCUUGUAAUUAUGUCUCUAAAUGCAAGUGUUAAACUUUAAACUAUGUCUUGUAAUUAUCUCUAAAUGCAACUGUUAAACUUUGUCAUGUUGUUUUUGUUCUGGUUUCUUAGGGCUCAAAAUUUUGUUUAAUAAAUUUGUGAUUACUUAAUUAAAAUUUUAAUUUGUCAUAAGGAUAAAAAAAAAUCCAAGUUCUACCCAAACCAACCCUACUACCUUACACUAUUACCUUGAGAUUGAGCAAGUGUGUGUGAGAGAAAGAGCUACCAUAUUCAGAGCUGUGAAUCCAUCUACUAUGUAUCGUCCAGUCCACAUAUGUAGAGAUACAAAUUAUUUAGAUUAUAGUUUGUUAGUUUGUUACGUUUCUGUUAUACUUCUGUUAAUAAGUAGUGUAUCUAUCUCUCAUAGCUUUAUUUACUCUUGAAAAAUAAACUAGGACUUAAAUACACAUAAAUCUAGAAAAAAAAUGAACAUUUUUGGUGUUGGAAGCAAUGAUCUAACAAAUAGAAAAUCAGAAGGCUUUUGAAAUUUUGAAGAGAAACAAGAUGGUUCAAAUUGCAGUAAACAAAACAGUAGCGAGAGGUAAAUGGCGGAAAAGUAAAAAUAAGAAGAAGAGCUUCCAAUUCAUUCAUUUCAUACAUGACAAUAACACAGCGGAAAAAAGAAAAAAAAAAAGUGGAGGAGUUGGGACACACAAUACAAUACAAGACAACAAAAUGAUAUUUCAUAAUGCUGGUACUUCAAAUUUGAAAAAAACAAAAGAAAACCCAAAGUAAUAAAUAAAAACAGAUUGUCUCAAACAACCAAUAAAAAUAUUGAAAUCUCCAACGCCAUACUAUUAUUAUUCUUAGAACUUGCUUUGCUUUUGCUCUUCAUUACAUUCUGGACUUGGCUACCACCACAUUCCCUUCUUCUCCCAAGUUCACUGCUCCUUCCCUCGUCCAUGACUCCUUGAACUGCUCUUCCGUUACCCCUGCAUUUCAAAAUUCAAACACUUGAUAAACACACUUCAACAGUUUUUUAACAUUAAUAUCAAAAUCUAAUGAUAAACAAUUUGCUUGCCUUUUCCCAUGGCCGCGGUGGACGAAAUCCCCCCCUGAACCGUCUUCAGAUACCGAUCGUAGUAGUUAGCACCAGACCAUUUCUGAUGUGCCAAUGUAUCCACUCCAUUGUUUCUUUCUUCUCUUUGAAUUCUCUCCACGUAUGCCAACAUUCCCCUUCUCGCGUAAUCUCUUGCAAAUGUGUCCACCACCAACGCAUCCGCGUGGAAUCCCGCCAGUGUUAUGAACUGCCAGCAGAAACCCAGCCUCGCGAUCCUCGGGAUGAACUCUUCCAUUUGCUUAUCGCUCAUUCCUGAUGCAUCCCAGUUGAAAGAUGGGGAUAGAUUAUAAGCUAACAUUGUUUCUGGAUGUAUGGAUUUCAUCCCUUUUGCGAAUGUUGUGCAUUCAACCAAAUCUGGGCUUGAAGUUUCCAUCCAGAUUAAGUCUGCAUGUGGUGCGAAAGCCCAACCACGAACAAUCGCCGCCAUUACCGAACCUUUGAAUCUGUAAAACCCUUCUCUAGUUCUUGGUAAAUCCCAAUCCCAGAAGAGAUUCUUCAGUCCUAAUUUCUCUGCGAUUUCACGUCCUUGUUCGUUCGAUAUACAUUUCUCGUAACUGGAAUGGUUCAUCCAUUCGUCUAAUUUCCUCCUCUUUUCAUUCUCUGUUGCGUUUGUAUUCAUGAUUGCGUCCGUUACACAUUCCGAAAAUGUUUUCAAUUGGGCCAUGGAAAUCCAUUGAUCUUCUAGAGCUUGAAGCUCCGCUCCUGUUUUUCCAGCCGCCAUGGCUUCUGCUAAAGCCCCAGCUAAACUCUUCCCUCUCAAAUUUGGGUUCGUCGCCCCCAAAAUAAAUUGAUGGUCUCGUUUAUCAACAUUCGUUUGAAUCAAAGUAGCUGCAACCGCAUCCGUUCGAGCCACGAGAAUCGUCUCAACCCCCAUCACAUCGAACUGCAAUCGAGCCGCUACGAGCCGAUUGAUGUGUUCGCUAACCCCUACCAACACUUUUCCCGCCAUAUGACCGCAUUUCUUCGUAACAGAGGAUUGAUCCUCAAUAUGAACACCGGCGGCACCGCGUUCCACAAAUAGCUUACAGAGCUUCACUGUAGCGGUGGUGCCGCCGAAGCCGGUGUCACCGUCGGCGAUAAUCGGUUUGAGAUAGUCGAUGUAAGGAGUUUUGGCUCGUUCCUCUCGACUCAUACUCAUCCUGGCUUCCCUCUGUUUCCUGUCAUGGUACUGUUGAGCGAAGAAAAGAUGCUCGACCUUGUUCGGAACAGUGUCGUAUGGGUAAUCGGCGAGGUCCGGGCCAGGUUCGUUAGUGGAGGUGUGAGUUGAAGAACAUUGCCAACCGGAGACAUAAAUGGUGUCCAAAUGCUUAGCCAUCAUCGUCACUUGAACAGGGUCAAGAGCUCCGAAUGUCCUCGAGGCUGUGCCGUUAGCUUGGUGGGUUUUGAGGGUUCGCCACAGCUUCUUAGCUAAAUCGUUUGAAGCGUAGCUUUGUCUCAGGCUCCCACGUAGUGACACCACGUCUUUUGCCGUGUACGGCCGUCGUGUUAGCUUGAACCUCUCUGAAUUCCACCAUGCCUGAACCUCUGCAACUUCCGCUUCAAAUCUUCCUUCUUCUUCCAUUAUCUAUACCAACAAGAAAUCUAAAAAAUAUUAGUAUUAGUAUUAUUAGUACCUGCAUUAACAGCAAAAUUCAAAUGGAUUUGUAUUCACCAUCGAAGGAACAGAGAAGGAGGCAGCCAUGGGUAGAGCUGAGUUUAUAAUGCUUCUUUUAGGUUCUUUAGUUCUAUAUUCCUCGACAAUAACGAAAAGAAGCCAAUCAACUCAAUGCAAGAAGUUUGUUGAUGGGGUUGUAUUUAUAAGGGGAGAGAUGAUCAGAAUCCCUUUGAGAUAGGUAAAAGAGUGUUAAUUAUGGAUUUAGAUAAGAAAAGAGAGCUACAGAAACCAAGAAAACAAGUUAUAAAGAAAAUACAAUUUGAAUUUGUUUCAUUGUUAUCUUCAGAGUUUGAUGGAAACUUGUCUGUUAUGAGGUGCAACUGCGGGGCACGUAAGGGAAACCCAUCCCUCUCUCUGCUGCCAUACUUGUCUUUCUCUCAUCUUCUCAAUAACCAUAAUCUUCGGUAAUAGUUUUUACGGUUUUUUUUGUUAAAUAUGAUUUCUUAUUUCUGUAUAAGCUAAGAAUUUAUGUGUAUAACAUACGGUAAAGUUUUUCUGUGGGUCAAAAUAGGCAGUCUGAUGAGGAAAUUCAGAAGAUUUCAUCGGAAUCUCCUCCUUCAAAUGUAAGGAGCCGACGUGUCGUAAUUAUUUGUCGACACAGUUGAAGGCAGUUUUAAGAUGGAUGUGUGAUGUGUGAUGUGUCGUAAUUAGAAUGCAUAAAGGUAACCAUUUACAAGUUUCUGCGUAUUAUCAGAUACCAUAUUCGCAUUAUUGUUUUCUUAUAACUUAAACGUUCCCCUAAACCUAUGAUUUUUUUAUUCUCUCUUUCUAUCCUUCAAAUCUUGUUUAUCAUUUCGAUUAAACAUUUUUUACGUAUAAGUAGAUAACAUUAAGUUAAUAAUUUGUAGAUUCCAUAUUUCUUUUAAUUCUUACAAGUUCAUUUAUCUUAUUUUAAAGAGAAAUAUUUUUUUAAAAAAAAUCUAGGAUCAUUAUCAAAAUUAAAAAUUUAUACUAUAACUUUGAGGGGGAAAACAAAACAAAGAUAUAUUAAUUGAUUAUAGUCAAUAAUUGACAAAAUAAAUCAUUAUAAGGUUUUGAUAUCGAUAUUCAAGUUCAAUGAAUAUUUGAAACAUCAUAUAUAAUUACCCAUAAAAAUUCAAUUAGUGAUGCAUAUAAAAAUAACAGUAAUUACUCAUCAUCUCUUAUUUACCCAACAGAAAAGAUAUUUAGUUCUCUAUUUUAUCCUUAAAUCAUCCAAUGACGUACAUAAAGGACGUAAUGAUAGAGAUAUAUUUAAAGUGAAUGAAAAUCAGGGUACUCUUAUAUAUUACGGCAUAACUAAAGAGGGGAGAAAAUAUAUAAAAUACAUAGUUGGGGUUUGGGAGGAGUUGAUGGGUUAAUUAAAAGAAGAUGGAAAUGGAUAAGGUUGGGGUUGUGUUUCAAAAAUUCAAUCUAUCUUGAAAAUGAAAAAAUUGGCGUAUGUAUUAGAAAAAGAACCCUCAAAGUAUUUCAAAAUUUGGAUAGAGUAUGGAAAUGAAAUUGAAAUUAAAUGAUCCGUAGGGGUGGAAGGGAUCGAAACAAGAGAGGCUGCGUCAACCAUGACUACUCCAUUUAUAAUAUAUCCCUAUGAACUUACCCGAUAACAACUUGAUUUACAUCAACCACACUUCCCCACCGCUUCACCACAUACAUACUUUCUAUUAUGAUCAAAUACAACUUUUCAUUGCAUUCCUAAUUCUUUUUUAUUAUUAUUAUUAUUAUUGUAUUUAUCUUGUCAAAUUUAUUCUUAGCAUUUCCAUUUUCGAACUUUAACUAAUGGUUGAACGAAAAUAUAUGAACGGCUUCCUACAUAUAAUAUGAUUCAUCUAACAUAUGGUAGAACAACUACUCAAUUAAUUAAAUUUUUAAAUGUUUUUUAAUUCAAUUUAGAUAUGACACAUUUUUAUCAAAAUGUUUUAAAUAUUGAGGUCGUAUCAAUUUUACUUUCAAGGCCGUGGAUCUUCUACAACACAGUAAUAAUAAUUGUAGUUUUAAUUUGCAUGAAUCUUGUUCAUUGUUUACUAAAUAAAUUGAUAAAUGGGUCCUUUUCAACUUAUAGAAUAAAGUUGAUAGUUUGUUUAAGCCAACUAUAGUUCAGCAUCGUUUAGUUAAAGGUUCUUAUUGAAAAGUUUGUUAUUAAUUUGGUGAAGUCAUAUAGCUUUUGUUUACAGGUGUAAACUGACUUUUUGUUGUUAUCUAUUUAUUUAAGUAAAAUGAUGAAAGUUUUUUUUUAAAAAAAUAAUGAAUGCCUAAAAUGGGAAUAAAUAUGGUAUUGAUCAAGUCUUGUUCACAUGGGGAAUAGGUGUAAUUUAAAAAAAGAAAAUAUAAAAAUUGGAAAUGGAAAUGGAUUAGGACUAAAAAUCGGUUUGAUGUAGUUAGUCCUCGGGAAGUGUGAGAAUAAAAUUGGGUUAUCUUCAAGGGCGGGUGGAAAAUGGGGCCAAGAGUGGCCAUUGAAUUGCGACCUUGUCCAUCCCCUUAGAUUGGGUUACCCUUUUUUUUAGCACUUCGAGGAGUAUCUCAAAACCUUUCUACAUUUUCUCUUCUUUAUUUACUUCAUUAUUUGUUCCUAGACCUCAUCCACAUCAUUUUAAUGUUGUAUAUAUCCUUUUUGUUUUACUACUUUCCCUUCCUAACAUAUUCAAGUGUUGUUUUUCCAACAUCUUUCUAUAUAGCAUGUAAGUCUAGAAGAAUUAUAAUGAUAUGAGUAGAGGUCUAAAACUCAAAUUUUCACUUAAAAGAAAGAAAAAAAAAAAGAAAAAAUUGUCUUUCUCAUAGUUUUUAAAUUUUUCAUAAAAAGUAUUAUUGACCUAAAAAUCAAGCUUAAAUUAUAUCAAGCUAUUAAAGUUUGUUACAUUUUAAAAUUUCCAUAAAACUUAAAAGGUUUUGAGACAAUGUCGAGCCAAUUAAAAUCUAGAUAACCGAAUUCCUUCCAAAAAAAGUUUAGGAAAUUUCAAUAUAUAGAAAAACAAUAAUUUUAUUUUUUUCAAAUAGUUGAAAUUUCGGGUUUUGAUAUUUUGAGAAAUUUUGAAAAAAAUUUGGUUAUGUUUUAUUUUUAAUUAGUUAAGUUAGCUUAGUUCAAAAUUUUCAAUUUUACUGUCCUUAUUACACAUAAUUCUAUAGCUUCACACCACAAUUGUCAUUUUUGUAAAAGAAUAAAGCUUUUACGACCUCCAAUUUUUUAAUUUUUUGCUUUUCUUUUUUCCAAUUUUUAGCUUUAAUUUCAAUCAAAAACAUUUACUUCUAAACAAAUUGAAUUUGGAAAAGCACAUAAAAUAACCGCUAUUUAUAAUUAACCUCAUUCAAACUUUUUUCAUUAAAUUUUACAUCACUUUACAAAAGUUGAAUUGAUAUAUUUUUUUCUUUUACCAUCUAAAACUUUCAUGACUUUCACCUCGUUCUACCAAAAUUAUUCUUAAAAUUUUAUAUUAGGUUGUGAUUAUUUUCUUUUUUAAAAAAAGAUUAUGAUCUUGCAACAUUAUAAACAUUAUAAAGUAUUUAUAAUAGAUAUCUAAAUAUUGUCUUGCUUUAUAAAAAUGAUAAGUAAAAAUUAUCAACUAUAGCUAGUCUAGAUAAGCCACAAUCAACUAAUUCUAACAAUUUUCAUAUAUUUUCUUAAAAUUUUCAUUAAUAUGGGCGUUUUCAUAAAAUCAAUACUUUGAUAUUUCCAUCAACACCAAUAUUUCAAAUUUUGGUUACAAGUCAACACAACAUACUUACUCAUACAUAACAUGUGUAAUUCUUUUUGUUGUAGUUGAGUUGUUUUCUUUUCUCUCACGUGAAAAAUUGGAAAAAUCACUUCAAUAAAUAGCAAUUCCAGGUAAGUUUUAGUGUGAUUUUGUCAAGUUAAUAUUAGUAAACAUCAUUCUAACAUUUGUUGUAUUUUUUUUAGAGUGGUUCUAAAUUGUUGAAACUAUUUUUACCAUUUUAAAAUUUACUAUAGUACAUACUAUUGAUUCAUAAAAAUUAAUUUUAAUUAUAUGAAAAGUGUAGAAUUUUAUAUUAAAUUAACUUUGAUUGAUUAGAAGUUUCAAAGUGAUUUUAACUAAAGAUGAGAUAAAUGAUUUUAACUAUGGAAAUUUGUCACCUAGUUAUGGACUAAAUAGUUGAAUAGCUGCCCAAUAAAAAUGGAAUGGUGAUAGCUAGCAAACAUGGGGAACCUUUGAAUUCCUCUAUUAAUUAAACUAACCCUAAGUAACAGAAGGGGCCAUUGGUGUUUGAAUUUGUAUGCAAGAAAAUUAAAUUGCAUGAAGAAAAAAAUAAACCAAUUUAAAUUCAAUAAUUAAAUGUUCUCAACGAUGGCUUGCCAGUUGUUCCCCGAAUUAUAACUCGACAUAGAUUAUCAAAUUAAUUUCUAUGUUGUCUAAGUCCAAUUAAUCAAAUUAGUCAAACUCAAUUAGACGAAAAGCAUCAUAAUCAAUUAACACUAAUCGCAUUACGAAUAGAGAUUAUGCUAAGGUGAACAUCAAACUAAGAACAACCUCCAUUAAUAUUCGUCAUAGUUCUUUCUAGGUUGAUUAGAACAAUAUAUAUAACAAGUUAAUCAAUCCUUUUGUCACUCAAUAUCAAAUCACAAUUAUUCGUCACAUAUUGCAAUUUGAUACCUAGUUAAUGAUCAUACAACUUCUAACAGUGGUAUAAUCAUAAACAUGCAAGAUUGAAAACGAAUGCAAAGACAAAAUCAUGGAAUUAUGCGAUUGAUCAAAAUUUCCCAAGUUACAGCCGUUUAUAUCAAUUGGACUUUGUCGUCUUUAAAAUUGACAUUAAAGACCUUUAAUAUCAGUUUUCAACUAACAUCUUUGAUCUUAUUAUUAAAGUCUUUUAAUGUCAAUUGGCUUUGAUGUCAGUUUAAAAUUGAAUUAAAGAGUCCAACAAUGUCGGUUUUAAACCGAUAUUAUAGUUCUCCAAUAACGUCAGUUUAAACCGACAUCGAAGCUUUAUUUUUUAGUCCAUUUUUACAAAUUUAUUUUUAUUAAUUUGUUGCAUUAUUAUCCAUUUUUAUGACGUCAAAUAGUUAAAAAUCAACAUUAUGGAUUCUCGUAGAGAUCACUGUUUCAACAAAAAAACUAUGUAACUCAAUUUAAAUCUUAAGUGACUUAUGAACUCCCACUCAUUAGAGUUAUAUUGUCCUUUGACUUGUAUAAGUGAGGGUGAUCCCCACUAAAACAAUACUGCAUUUUAUUGUUAGUUUAAAAUCGACAUUAUAGAGGUACAGUGUUGGUUCUCAACUGACAUCAAAGAACGUGUUACUAAAUACUUUUAAUAUCAGUUUUUCUUUGAUGAUGGUUUUAAACUAACAUCAUAGAUAUCCAUCAAUUUUAGUUUAAAACUAACAUUAUAAAAGUACAAUGUCAAUUCUCAACCAACAUCAAAGAACAUGUUAUUAAAAGUUUUUAAUGUACUUGGUUUUAUUUUGAUGUUGGUUUUAAACUUACAUUAAAAAUCUUCUAUGUCGAGUUGUCACCUUUUUUUUUUUUGCCAGUAAUUGUCCGAUAUUAAAUGUCUAUCAUCGUUUCGUUAUUGAAAAAAAUAUAAAAAUAUAUUUUCUUAUUACUGAUUUUUAUUUCAUCUUUGUGGUUCUUUUUUUUUUUUUUUUUUUUUGUAUUUUUCAACUAUUUGAAUGAUUUUUUAAGUUUUAUUUUUGGUUUUGGUUCUUUUUUUUUUCUAGUUUUGAAGUGGAUGCAUUGAUAUUAGACAUCCACAAAUUAUUCUCUUUUCUAUUGUAUUAAUCUUGAUUUUAGGAUAUCAAUGAUACAUUAAUUGCAAUAUGAUAUAUAAUGGUUGUUGAUUUGAAGAAUUGAACUUCAUUUGUGAUUGCUAUCUACAUUUUUCAUCGAUGUGAAUUUUGGGGUUAAAUCUAAUUUUAAAAGAUUUUGUUUUACUUUUUUAUGUUGGUUUUGUUUUGGUUUUACUUUGUAUAUCAGUUCUAUAUGUUUGUAUUAAAAUGUACUUAUACUAUAUGUAUUAAUUGGUUGAUAUACUUUCUACGUGAUUUUCAUUUUUUCAAAAAUUUUGUAGUUCAUUGUAGUUAUGGUUAAUUAUAUAAUAAAUUUUAUAUCAAGUGCAUCAAUUGUAUAAACUAGUGCAUUAUUAAGUAUAUCAAUAAUAAUAUAUUAGUAAAAUAUAACAACAUAUCGGUAAAGUGAAACAUUAUCAAGUAUAUCAUUCAAGUUUACAGGUGUAUAUCAAUAGUGUGUUAAGUGUAUCAGUUGGAACUUCAAGUAUAUCAAGUGUGUAUUUAAUCAAUGAGUAUAUCAAUAUCAAGCAUAUUAAAUUUGUUGAGUGUACCAGUGAAGCAUAACAAGUUUAUCAACAGUGCAUUAAGUGUAUUAAACUUAACAAUGAAACAUUAAAGUGUAUCAAACUAAUCAAGUAUAUUAGUGAAGCACAACAUGAAGGCAAGUUUGCAAUCUUCCAUUUUUAAAUUUAGGUUGGGUUUGGGUUUUAACAUUUUCGUAAAACCAAAAGUUGUGUAUUAUAGGUCUAAUUUGUUAAACCUAUUAUGAUAAAUAUGCAAGAAGCCCUAAAAAUUAUUGUGAGCAUAUGUAUUUUAAAUACAUCGACAAGUUAAGUUAUCAUACACCAAACAAUAAACAUAUAAGCAUUUUAAAUACUCAAAUUUAUCCAACAUGAAUUAGUAAAUACUUUAACUAAUAACAUUUCAAGUGUAUUUAACAAUAUAUGAAUGUAUCAACAAUUGUAUAUAACAAUAAUCAAUAUUUCAAAUGUAUGAACAGUAUCUUAUAACAACUUACAAUAGUCAACAUUCAAUUAAUUAAUUAUUUUGGAGUAAAAGUACAUGUGUUACAUUUCAAGGGUAUCAUGUAUAUUAAAACCAUAUAAAGUGUAUCAAGGUCCAAGAGGGAUCAAGUGUAUCAAGAAAAGCCAAGGUAUCAAAGAUGUAUCAAGGGUAUUAAAGGAUAUCACAAGCGUAUAAAAAAGCUAUUAGGUGCAUCAAGUGUAUCCAAGGUCCAAAGGGUAUCAAGAAGUAUAAAAUGUAUCAAGUGAGGAGUAUCAGGUGUAUCAAGGGAUAUUAAGUUUUUCGGGUAUAUCAGGUGUAUCAAAUGAUAUAAUAGUAACAAGGGCAUUUGUAACAUUUCACAUCUUGUAUGUGUGGGUUGUGCUUUAUUUUUAUCAUUUUUACAACAAUAAAUGUGUAUAUGAGCUUAGUUGUUAUAACUUGUUUUGCGUUUUUGCAAGUGCCUCUAUUAAAUAUAUAUUGAAAUAUAUUUAAUUGAGAAAAUUGGAUAAUUAACAAGGAAAGAAAAAGAAAUUUAAUAUAUAUUGGUUUAUAUAUUUAUUUUGCAAAACGAAUUAGGAUUUGAAAAUGGUUGGGUCCCUAAACUUUCUAUCUUAUUCUAUUGUGAUCCUUGAACUUUUAAAAUUGUAUGUUUUAGUCCCUAAUCCUUUAAAAAAUAGCAUAUUUGGGUCUCUGUCGCUGGUAUUUUGUUAACUUGAACAAAUGACUUCAAUAUUUAAAUAGUUAGGCUACCAAAUUAGAUAAUCACUCUUAAUAAUUUAGGGUUUUAAUUUUUAAUUAAAGAUUAUAUGAUAAAUUGAUGUUUUAUAAGAAAACUUAAGAAGUCAAUAUCUUUAAGAUUUUGAUUGUCAAAAUUUUGGGCAUUGUCAUUCUUAUUUCACUUUUCUCAACUCAUAUGCUAGAUGCAUUUCAUCUAUGUACAAUUUUUUUUAUGCCAGUUUAGCAUAUUUUUUUAUUCAUUGAGUUGUUUUCUUUUUCUCUUUCUCCAAAUUCUAUCUUUUUCCUUCUUUUAAGAGAUUUUGUGAUUCACUGUUGGAAUAUUUAUUUGCAAUUUUAUAGAGUUUAUUUUAUAUGUGUGUUAUACUUAUUUUAUUUUUCCUUAUCAUGGAUGUUAACGCCAAGAUGUUAAAUUUUAUUUUAUUUUCUUAUUAUAUUUAAUGUUGAUCUUCUGAUUUGCUUCAAGACUUCAAUUUGAAAGAAAAAUAAAUAAAUUGUGGAGAAUCGAGAAGGGAUGAGAUAGAUUUAAGUUUUGAAAGAAAAAAAAAAUAGUUUUUAAUUUGAAUUUAUUUGAUUUGGCUGUUGUUGAAUAAAUUAACAAGAUUUCUUAGUUAUUUAUCCAUUUAAUUAAUAUGAUGAAUUUAAAGCAUAAUCAUUCAAAUCUAGAAGCCACCUCAUUAUUUCGUGGAAGAGUUAAUGUAAUUCUAAUGACAUGAACCAAAAUAAGUUUUUUUCAAAAGUUCGAGGAUCAAAGCAUGUACUUUUUUAGUAUUGGCUUUAAGAUUAUAGUAUUAAUAAUUUCGUUUAAAGAUAUCAUGUGUAACUUAAUCUUAAUCCUAAACUAACUAUGAACUUCCGUUCACACAAGAUUAUCCUUAGAUUUGCAUAGGUGAGGGCAGGUCAUUAGCACUAGCACUAACCCAAUAAGCCUCCCAUUUUAGGGGUAAGACUAGAUGGAUAGCUGGGACAUAAGAUGCAAGACAUAAUUCACAUACUACCCCCUUUAAGGUUAGUAGAUAGGUUGUUCCCUUAAGGACUGAAUCCAAGUUUUGAAUGUUGGAAAAGACUAUAGGUUUUUGGUCCAAUGCAAAGUUACCUCGUUUAUUGUCCCACGUUGAUAAAAAUGGAAGAAGCAAACGGGCAUAAAUAGCUAAGUGUCACUAGGGGAUUACAAAUUGUGUUGAUGAUGAUAGUAUGACCAUGUCACCACGUGCGCCGCUGCCGCUAUUCAUCUGUCCGUCUGGGCGGGCUCGAGUAACCGCACUUGCACGAAUAAGAAUGUAAUUUUUAAUACUCAUUUGAAUAGUUUUUUUUGUUCCCCAAGUGCCGCGCCACGCGUCGCUUAGUUAUGUAGUCGCUUAUGUUUUGCCAUGUGUCACAAUUUGGGCUUGUUCUCCAGUUGUUUUGAAUUGUCGUUCUUCCACGUUCCACGCCCUUGUUCAUCCGCUGUCGAUCUUUCCUCCAUGCCUUCCUUUUAUUGAAACUUCAUAUGGCAGUUCAGUGGGACUCCAUUAUAAAUAGAGCCCUCCUCCAGUUCUUAUUCAUUCAUUCCUCAUAACCUCUCAUCCUCUCUACCUUUCUCUCUACCAAUACAAGUAGUUCUAAGCGAGUUCCUUCAUCAUUUCUAUUCCUAUUUGAGUGCAUGUCAGAAGUAGGGAGUUGUGUUAACUUUGAAAAGCAACUGAUAUUACGAUUAGCACCACAAUCUGGCCGAAUUUACUUUCAGGGCAAUAAUUCAUCACGGUGCGGCAAGUCAUUUUGAUCGUCAUCUAUGUUAUUUUUACAACAAUCUGAAAGAAAAUUACAAUGUCGAUCAAAACCAACAAAGUCCUACCAUACCUGUCCAAAUUAGAGCCACUUUACGGAAUGAACUACUGCCGCUAGUCUAAAGAAUUGUUGAUUUUUUUAACAGCUCGAAGUCGACUACGUCCUCACUGUCGAACCAUUAAACGAUCCUCCAGCAUCUUCUGAUCCAGAAUCAUCCAUGGGACCCCUUGUCGUAACUGCCGAUCAGGUAAAGAAAGCAUCUUCAAUUGAUCCUGAGAAGUACAAGAAGGACAACAAGACGGUUCGUGGGCAUCUGUUAAACCAUAUGUUGGAUCUGAUGUUCGACUUAUUUGUAACCCAAAAAUUUGCCAAUGACAUCUGGUGCAUUCUAGAGUCUCGUUAUGCUGGAGAAGAUGUUGGGUGGAAGAAGUACAUUGUGGGAAAAUUGUUGCAUUUCCAGAUGACAGAUGAUAAGCCAGUUGUGGAACAAAUAUAUGAGUAUGAAAAUCUGGUGGCAAAUGUCCUACCGGAAGGUAUGAAGAUGUGUGAGAUACUUCAAGCUAACGUUCUGCUGGAAAAAUUCCCUCCCUCCUGGUGCGACUACCAAAAUCACCUGAAGCACAAGAAGAAAGAUCUUAAACUCCAAGAUCUGAUAAGCCACAUGCGUACAGAAGAGGCCAACAGAUUAAAAGAUAAGUUAGCUUCCACAAAUUUAAAUUCAGUUAAUGCUAACUUGGUUGAGUCUUCCUAUGUAAACAAAGACAGGUCAAAAUAAGAUAAAAGGCCGAAUUAGAGAACCUAAAAAAAGUAUAGUUCAAGGCUCCUAGAGGAAAAAUAAAAAAAAGGAAACUCAUAUGCUAUGUCUGCGGAAAGGAAGGACACAAAUCAUAUCAUUUAGAUGAGAUUUGAAUAAUUUUGAAAAAAUGAAUGUGGAUUUAUGCUCAAGAGGUCGAAAUCAAUCAAGAUGGACAAAAUGGUAAGAAGUUAAAAUGUUGACUUUUGAAUUGAAAAAGUCAAACUUUGAAUUUGAUUUAAAUGUCAAAUUACCAUAUUUUCUACUUAUAUACUAAUUUAAAUAAUGAGAUUUGACAAGCUUAUCACAUGUAUGUGAGUUGAAGUGACUCCAUGCAUCAGCUAUACACUUACUAGAAUGCCAUGUGUUUAGAUAUGGUACAUGCAUUCUUGCAUGUAAUGUCAUGUGUUGAGAUAUGGUACAUGCAUUCUUGUACGUAGUUUGCUCAUAAAAGGUUUAUUGGAAUGGGAUAAAAACUUUUGGACUUUUGGUGAAAUUUUAUUUUGUAAUUUGAAAUUGCAAAAUAAACCAAAACUCUUUUUUUCCCACAAAAUCUCAAAGCUAAGUUUCUCCUCCAAAUUCCAAUUCUCUCUAUUUCCUCCACCAUUCGAGUCCUACAACCCGAUUCUAAGUCUGGAGAAUAGCGGGUCAAAUUCGUGAGGAGAUUAUGAGGAUGGAAAAGCUUCAAAUGUGAGUUUUUGCUAUUAAUCCUAUCUUUGUUCCAAUUAAGGUUGUAAUGCAUGUUAAUUAUAAAGUGUUUAGAUGUAAUUAGUAGUAAAACUUGAUUUUUAUUCCGCUGCCAAUGUUUACCGUUUUCAUUGUAGAAAUCGAGGGAUCAAAAUAAUAAUAGAUAGAAAGUUUUUUGAUACACUAACCCUAAAUCUUAUUUCAUGUAUAUACGUAUAUAUUCUUAUUUCAUGUAUAUACGUAUAUAUUCUUAUUUCAUGUAUAUACACGUAUAUAUUCUUAUUUCAUGUAUAUACGUAUAUAUUGGGUUUUAUGCCUCACGUGCGAAAAAAACGAAAAAGAAAAUAAAUUUAUUUUUCUCUUCUUCUUCACACAAACCGGUCACCCCCUGGUUUUUGUUCGCGCCGCCGUUUCCUCGCCGUGGACAACCUCCCUCAGCUGACUCCCAACCGAUCCUCACGCCGUCACUGAGUCUCCACGCCUCCCGAGCUGGUUCUACAUGUCGGUUGUCCUUUCGUAAGCCGGUCCGACGCUGCCGCUUCAACCACGCUUCGUCUACCGCUCCUCCCUGUCGUCGGGUUUCUCCUCCUGCUGCCGCUGUUGAUUAUUGGAUCUGCUAAGUGGAUGAGAUUUAGGUAAGUUUUUGGUUUUUUUUUAUGGGUUUUGGAUACCCAUUAUAGAUUGGAUUAAGAUUUGGUUCUUUCUUGACUUCGGAAGAUUAUUUGAGUGGUUUUUUAGAGUUGUUCUUGGAGAUUAGGCCGCUGUCUAGCAACAUCUUGGUGAGGUUUUGGUAAGUAAUUAAGGGAACUAAGUUGAAUGUUGAUUGGAAGUGUCUUGGUAAGGUUAAUAAUAAUUUAUGUGAUGUUAUAUGUUGAUUCAAGGAGGAGGAUUGGGUUUUGGAAUGUGAAUUGUUUACUUAAAUAUUAUUGUGCGGUUGUAAUUUGAGGUAAGGAAUUUACUAUCGGAGUCCUGGAUUGUAAUUAAGAUGUAUUCAUGACUGCUUUUGGACUGUGAAAGUAUCAUGAAAUUUCUUCUUGCAUAGAUCUUUCCAACUCAACUAGUGAAUUUUCUUACAGUUAUUCUCAAAACCCCACCAAAACAUGGACAUAGAAGCCAUUACAUUUAUUCCAAUUAAUGAGCAUUUUUGUACACGUAGUUGUUUUUCCAGAAUGUUUUCAGAUGAGGGAUUGGGUGAAGGUUGUAAAAGCAAUAAGAUUGGUGUUCGGGCACAAGGCAUCAAAAGAUGUUUCUUUUAGGUUUGAUAGUUUAUCCUAGGAUAGUUUUUAAUAAAUUGCUUCCGCUGAAGUGUGUAAGUUGUAUAUUUUUCUAAUUGUUUUUACAUUAUUGUUUUAAUAGCUUUAUUGAAAAAUACGGGCUCCUUAUCAUAAAAGAGAAAUGGCUGUUACACUGUUUCGCCUCUCGUUCCUGCAAAUUUGACACUCAAGGACUCUUGGAGUUGAAGUCCAAGAAUCGGAUUAAGAACUGUAAUUUAUGCCUGCAAGUUUGUCGCUCAUCUUUUCCCUAAGAUUUGGGAAAGUUUAGAGUUUGCACCAUGAAAACUAUGGCUUUUAUGGCUAUUAGAAGGAAGUUCAGGGACAAUGUUGUCCAGGAGUUCAUGCUACAGCGGUGCUACAGCUCUAAAGUCAACUUGAAGAAACUUCGCCCAAUGAUUUUAAAGAGAAUUCAAGAUCGGGCAAAAAACUAUCCUAUAAAGGGAAUGACUCCAGUGGCACAGCAAGUCCUUGAAGCUAGGGCAAUGCUUAUACAUGGAGUUUCCACUCUUCUCAAAUCAUUUCCAGUUCUCUCUUGCAAGUUAGUGUCCCUGGGCCGGAACAAACUCUCUUCAGUUUUUUUUUCUUUCUUUUUGUUAUGAUGUUACUCUGCUUCCUUUUCUUUUUCCUUUCCUUUUUCCUUUCUCUUUUUAUAGUUUUAUAUAAAUUGUAUGAGUGGACUAGUAUGUGUAUUAGAGUUUUUCCGUUUUGUCAUAAAUGCUUAGUGGCCUUGAUUUUCAGUAUGAUGUUUCUUGACAAGUAGCCGAUAUAAGAAAUUUCCUGCAGUUGAAGUAAAUUGAAUGAAUUCGACAAUAUAAUCUGGCUCUUUAUGCCCCCUAGGACCGUCUGUUAAGUUUGUUUGUUUUUCUUUUUAAUUUUAGAUUGAACCAUCUUAAGGUGUUAAUAUGAAUGCUGCUUCUAGAACUCCUAGACACUUGUGUCAGUCUGUUCUUUCUAAAGUUUACAUUCAACAAUCUCAACUGUUAGCAUGAAUACAUCUUUGUGAAUGUUGUUUCUGAUACUCCUAGGUCGUUGUAUUGUUUUUGUAGAUUUUGUCCAGAAGUAUAUGUUGGUGAGGAAGGUCAUCUAAUACGAAGUUGUGGUGGUUAUAAACGUGGUGCCAAGAAUCAGGUUCAUCAGUGGAUCAGAGGUGAUUUGAAGGAUAUCAUUGUCCCAGUAGAAGCAUUUCACCUCCAUCACAUGUUCCAAGAUGUUAUUAAACAUGACGAGAGGUUCAACUUUGAACGUGUUCCAGCAGUAGUUGAGCUAUGCUCCCAAGCUGGGGCCAAUCCAGAUGAUAAAAAUCUGGCUUCAAGCACUCAGAAUUCAGCUGAAGGUGGUGGCUCAGGCAUGGAUGAACCUCUGUCAGAUCACGAGAUGAUGCUUUUAGCAACUGAAACCAUCAGGGCAUGGGAAACACUUCGGACCGGCGUGCAGAAGCUGUUAAUGGUAUAUCCUACUAAAGUCUGUAAGUACUGCUCAGAAGUUCAUGUUGGGCCAUCAGGACACAAAGCUAGACUUUGUGGAGUUUUUACAUAUGAGAGUUGGCGAGGGUCCCAUUUCUGGGAGAAAGCAGAUGUAGAUGAUUUAGUUCCUCCGAAGAUCGUUUGGCAUCGGAGACAACAAGAUCCUCCUGUGCUUGUUGACAAAGGGAAGGAUUAUUAUGGACACGCACCAGCAGUGGUGGCUCUUUGCACGCAAGCAGGAGUCAUUGCACCAUUUAAGUAUCACUGUAUGAUGAAAGUUCAAGGCCUAUCGCCUAGAGUCAAACUUGAGCUAUGAAAUCUCCUUUUGAUGGACAUCAUGUGGAGCUUCCCAGAACUUCACGCAAAUACAGUAUACAACUUUAAGGUGACUGUACCUAUUUAUUUUCUUUCUUCCUGCUUUAUCUGUUGGGUUGAUCUUUUAAGCUUAUAGAAGGAGAAACAUGGAUGGUACAUCAUCAGAUCACUGAGAGGCAACUUAGGAAAAGUUUUGUAGUUCACAAAGUUGAAUAAUUUUGAACCAGGUAUAUUGAUAGUUAAAACUAACUUUAUAAAGCAAUAUUGUACAGUCGUCUUAUUCUCUUUAUCAUAAAUAUGUAUCAGGUCGAUUCCCCGUCUCCAUUUAGCUCGUGAACAUAAUUUUCUUUUACCUCCAUUACUUUCUAACAGGAAUUCUCUGCUUCGUUACGGGGCCUCACAGAAUGGUAAUUAAUGAUGAUCAAUAGAAGAUUUCUGCUAAAUUAGUUAUUACUAGUUAGUAUUAUUUUGAUUUAACUUAUUGCAUGCAUAUGAAAUCAGUGGACUAUCAAGUUCUAACCAUCGAUAAUUUUAAGGGAAGGAAAUUCAUUUUUAUUCCUCAGCUCGUCAAUUUUUAUAACUUCAUCCAAUAAACCUACAUAAAUAGGCAUUGGAAUUUUAACUCUAAUUUCUUUAGAAAAACAUAUCGCAAUUUUUACUCCUAUGAGUUUUGGGUUAAAAUUUUGUUUUAAGGAAAAUAUUCUUUGCACCCAAUGAAUCACUAAACAUGUAGAAGCUAAAUUUCGUUCUGUAAUUAUUUUGUUUUUUGUUUCUUUUUUAUAAUUAAACUUACUCCAUUCCAUGUCUUGCAAUAUUUGCAUAUCAUUUAAAUACAAUAGUUGAAUACUUAUCAAAUUUAAAAACAAAAAAGUGAUUAGCUACCCGACACAACAAAUUUUUAAAAAUUAAAAAUCAAAAACAAAAAAUGAAUGGGUUACCCAUCUGAUUGUACUUUGUUUGUUUUCCAAAAUAACUUUGGUAAACUAUAUUAGGAAGGAAGAAAGUUGAAGGUGAAAUGAGUGUCUAUAGGGGAGAAAACUAGUGUCAUACUGUCAAGAUUUGCUCCAAAAUUGGAAAGAUUGGGGAGAAAAUUAACAUUAGAGCAAAUGUUUGGUUGGUUGAAUUUUGUAAAUUUUGGAAAAACUAUUAAAGAGUCAAUUUGUUGGUUGAUCAUAUUUGGUUGUGUGUAAAGCUUGAUUGGUCUGAAAUUAGUAAGAUCGUGCAAUUUCUUUCAGUGAACCGAGAGAGCGAACAAGAUAUAGAAAUUGCAAUACUUUGUGUGAGUUUAGUGACUAUUUUCAUGAAAGUAAAAGUUGCUUUUUGUUAAUAGUUUCAUCAUCCUGGAUAAUACUAUAGUUGGUUUGGUUAUAAGACAAUUGGAUAUUGAUAAUGGUAAACUAAUAAUAAACUGUUUAAUUCACGCCAACUAAAGCUUAACAAUUGAAUAAUCAAUAAAUGAUGAUUGUUAUUUAAGGAAUAGUUCAUUAUCAGUGCGUGUGUUACAUAUUCACACAAAAACAAAAACUGUGCGUGCACGCUAAUAAUAAACACAUCACAUCAGUACGUGUUUGUGUGCGUGCGUGUGAACAACACAAAAAAUGAAACUAUUUACAAAAUAUAACAAAAUUAUCAUAUGUCUUUUUUUAUUAUUAUUAUUACUUUGUGUUCUUUUAUUAGUAUUUUCACCGUAUAUUUUUAAAAGUGGAAAUAAACAGUAAAGACAGUCAUGUAUAAAAGAUAUGCAUGGUGAAAUGAGGAGGGACGAUGUAUAAAAGAUGUGCAUUGUGUUUUGGCCUGAGCAACAAGGAAUGAAUCAUGAUAUUCUCGGAUGCUGAUGAUGAGAAGGCGGUCAUCUCAGUAGUCUAAACACGAUAUGAUGAGUUUUUGCGUAGAGAAUGAUUUAGGUCCUUGGUAAAAAUAAAAAUUGUUGACUAAUGUGUGUUAUUGUGAAAUGAAUGUUUAUUCGAUUUGUUAUGUUCAUAUGAUCAAAAGAUGUAUUUAUGCAAAAUGAUAUGUUUGGAAAAAUAACAUUUAUGAAAAGAAUUUCGCAAAAAGGUUUUUUAUAAAACCGCACUGAGUCUUUUAGACUUACGUUUUAAAGUUUCUUUUCCGGGCUUCAGGCGUUAAGACCAAGGAAAGGGUGAAAAGAUGUUGGGCGAGAAGAGUUGUAGGCGUUUUGUUUUAAGUUUAAGUGUUGUACUUAUGUAAUUUGUAUUAAGUGUUGUAGAACGUCUUGUUUAAAGUUAAUAAAAGUUUUGGUUUGUCAAGUUGUUUAUCGCCUAAGUAUGAAAGUGUUAAGUAAGAAUUGAGUAGGUGAUAAACUUGUAGAAAUACAAGUUAUUGUAGCCUCUCUUAUAGAAUAAUGAGGCCAAAAUGUAGAAGAAGUAUAUCAAAACGCGUUCAAUGACUCUGAAAGGAGCACGUCUUAAUCAUAAUCUGGUUAAGAGCAAUAUAGUGUAUUAAGGCUCUUACAUUACUUAAUCACCUUACAAUGCAUAGAUUUUCCAUCACUUGCUCUUUUAUGCAAGUUAGUUCACAUUCUACCAUCAUUUAAUCCUCUUUGCAGAAAAUCUCUAUAUGUAAAUAAGUAGUUAUAGUUUAACAUUCUUUACAUUUGAUUAUUCAUUUAUAUCGCCUGAUUGACCAUUAGACUCUAACACUAAGCUUUGAUAUCAAUUCCUUGUGUUAGAUACUAGAUCAUCCAGGAAAACCUAUUGUUUUGUUUAUACUUGGACAAACAAUAGCUAAUACACGAUAAAGAGGCACAUAGUGAGUAUUUCGCGUACAAUGAUCUUAACCAAUGACUUAUCACAUAGAAUUAAUCAUAUGAUGAGACAUGUACAACUCUGAGUCCAAAUGCAAGUCAGUAGGGGAUUAAGCAAAGCUUAAGGACCUUAAGCUGAGUGUCUUGUCGUUUAACACGUCAAAAUACUCAAAGUCAUACUGUGACUUGCAUGGCUAAUAAGGACGAUGCGUGCGGGGUGAGGCGAGGCGUGAUAGCUUUUGUGCGCACAAAGGGGCUUCUUGAGAGGUUAAUGGGGCUUCACCGACAUAGUUUGUUAGUUUUGGAGUUCCUAAUAUAAUUUUGGAUAUUUUCUACGUUUAAGGAAGUUGAUUAAGGAUUAAGUUUCCUAAUAUCAGGACAAGAAGAAGUUGGACAAAUUUAUCGACCAAGGGGGAGUACGCUUAAAGUCAUGAGUGACAAAGUGUUUUUAAGUUUAGUUUUUACCUAAGUUUCAAAAGCAUGAUUAUUUGUUAAGCGUGUUAAAUGAAUUUCCUAAUAACUUACCAUGAGUUUAGCAAGCAUGUUUCCUUAAAGUUACCAAGGUAUUAGAGACAUGAAAAUUUCUUGUCAUGUUUACUUAAGAAAUUUACUUUGUGAUGAUUAUUUAAAAAAAUUUACUUUGGUAAGUUUUAUUACCAACAUGACGUUUUUUCAGAAAGCUUACAUUUAUUAUUCAAGUUAGUCACUCAUUGAGCUUCCAACUCACUAUUUUAAAAUAUUUCCAUUUUUCAGAUAGUAAUUGUGAUCUCAUAGCAGACUUAUAGACGUCAGUCUGCCUUAUUUUUGUUUAGGUUUCCUUUGAUACUUUGUUUAUUAGGUUUGGUUGGUUUUCAUGCAUAUCUAGACUUGGGAUGUUGGUGUAUGAAAGUUGGUUGGUGUUGUCUAUAUUUUUCAAAUAUCCUUCUGAUCUUGUAUAUAGUUUUCUAUUAUAUGGUAUGUUUCCCGUGUGAUGAUUAGUAGUUGAGUUAAUACAUAUUAUAUUUUCAAUUUAUCUAUAGUAGUUUCUAAUUCAAUUGUUAGUUAGAGUUAUAAGAUUAAGUCGAUACUUACUGGCUUUACAUCUCCCAUUGGACUAGUGAGGAAGUCUGGGAGGGGAUGUGACAAAAUCCCUCCUUAUCUAUUGACAAACCAUCUUCAACUCGAUCAAUUUUUGUCUAUUGACUCAGUUUUUGGUCUAUCAGCCCACUCCUAUGCUCGAUAAUUCAAAUUAACAGAAACGAAAAAUAGUAUGUUGAGGGUGAGAUCUGAAAAAAUAUUUAAAAAUAUUAGUGGAUACCCUAAUUUUCAAAUGUAAUCAAAUUGAGCAGUCUUUACAUAUGCAAACAAAUUGCAUUUAAUGAAAGCAUAUAUCAUAAUCGGACACCAACAUCUCACUAUGAUUAUAGGGCACAUAUAAACAAAAACGAACUUGAUCAAACGGGUCAACUUUUCAAAUCAUGAUUCAUUUAUUACAUUUACCUAAACAUGACCUAAAAGACAUCUUCCACUUCAUAAUUAGCUUGGUAUGAGAGUUUGUACGUGCAUGGCCUAAGAAAUCGAUUGUUCUUUGAGGGACAUCUCAAACAACAUAAAUCAUGCAACUUAUUAAUUAGUUUACUUUGGAAUUCUAAAAGUAAAUCAUCUUUAGCUUUAUUUGAUUGGUGAAUUUUCUUUUGAGUAUGGUUCACUCAAUUGGGACACAACAUAAGGUCCCCUCGCCCACACGUUGGUGCACUUCCCCAUUCAAUUUUGAGCUAAAACAACAUUUUAAUUCUAAGCUUCCACCACAAAAAUAGUUUCAUUCCAAAAUUUUAGUAGGUAAUAAUUCAAUCUUAAUUAUAACAAUUUGAUAGGUAACAUGAAAGCUAUCAAAUUGUAUGUAUCACCUAUUCUAGUUUAAGUACCUUGAAUAUCGGUUUAGGAUGUUGAAGUGAAAAGCCUGAUGAGAUAAUACAAGAGUGUUCAUUAUAGUCACCUACCUAAGAAUUAAUUUUUUAUGAAUUAUCUUGAUAACCAAAUAUUGUAGGGUCAGACGGGUUGUUCUAUGAGUAUAGUCGAGAUGCAUGUAAGUUGACCAAGACAUUCACAAUUAUUAAAAAAAAAAAAACAAUUACAUAGGAGUGGUCAAUCAAUUUGUUGAAAGCUCAAUCUUUAGUUGAGUUUUAUUACAUAGGAGUGGUGGAUCCAUUCCUUGCUAUAUUGUGGUCGAAUCUAACUCUUAAAGCAAGACAUUUUGGAAUAGCCACUUUCUCAUUUUCGCCUUGCAAUAGGCAUCAUGUUGCUCAUUUCAUAACUUUGUUACGUUGUUUUUCUACUUCCCAUUUAUAAUUUUUUUAGAGGGAGUUUCUUUUACUUUCUCCUGAUUGGGGCUUAUAAAAGAAAUAUAUACAUUAUUUUGGUGCAAAAAAUUGAAAGUAAAAUAAAGUAAAUGGAAAUGUUACCUAACCUUAGACAAAUGCAAAAUUAUUACUUCCUAAAAAAACCUAUCUUUGGUGUUUUCAGUGAUGUGAAAAACACUUCAAACAUUAGAUAGCAUAAAGGUCAUGUACAACUUCCCACAAGCAAGCGUGGCUAAUGAUUUGGUAAAAAAGCUACAGAUUAAAACGCAAUUCUUUUCAGAUUUCUUACCCUUUUGUCAUUUUCAGUCACUGUUUUUUCCUCUCUUUUUCUUUUUCUUUCAGGGGUCCUCUCUUCACCCUUUUAAGCUUGUGGGGUUGUUCCUUAAUUUGAGAAUCCAAGUGGUCUCAAUUAAAUAUGUUUCCCCAAAAGCUUGAUUAGAGGCCAAAUAAGAACUUCCUUUUCCAAACAAAAUCAAUGGCCAACUAAAGUUAGAUGAAAAAAAAAAAGAAGAAAAAAAACUGAUAGAGAUGAUGGGUUUUGGCUUAUUGGUUAAGGCUCCCAGUACAUAAUUGGAUGGGGUCUAUUUUUAGAAGAAGCACCCUAUCAAAGAUUCAAGGAAGAGCAAAAAGAUUUAAUUGUUCUUCCAAUUACCCUUUCUUUUUUCUUUGUGAUAAGUUAAAGGGUGGUUAAAAUCAAUAUUUUGGAAGCAUUAUUUGCUGGCACAUAUGACUUUUUGACCUUUUUUUGUUCCCUAUCUUUGUCCUUUCGAACUCCUCUUCUUUUUCUUUUUUUCUUAAUGCAGGAAUAAAGGGUUUUAACUAAACUUAUACGUUUAUUUUAGUAUAGUUUUUGCGUACCUAUAUUAAUUAAUCAAAAAGGAAAUGUCAUUAGAAGAUUUGAACUUAUCACUCUAAGUCCGACUAUAGUAUAUUAUUAUUCAUCUACGUAUAAGGGAACAGUGUCUUGUAUAGCAUAAUUUUCUAAUCAUAAUAUACAUCUCAGAUAGAGAAUAUUAUGAAUCAUAUUUUAUAGUCCAUUGGUAUAAUAUUAGCUGCUAAUCUAAAAUAACAUAUUUUAAGUGUACCCAACUAGUUUAUGAGGCAAAUUAUCAUUUGAAGGAAAAUAAUUCAAUAUACCAAAUCGUGUAUCUCAGUGCAAGAAAUUCCAUUUAGAUCGGCUAGGUUUCAAGGUGUCUAGAGAACUCCAAUAAUAUAAUUUCUAAACCUAAUCUAUUCUAAUCAACUUCCUUAUCAAUUCUUUGCCUUAUUUCUGGGACCAUCAUUUCCUUAAUCAGAUAAAGCAUUUCUCCAGUUCUUACACACAAAGUUAUGAGUAGAAGUUUUUUUUUUCUAUUUUUUUAAUUUUUCUUCUUACCUUCUCCCCAAAGCACAUGGUUCGGCUGUUGGUUUUGCUUUGCUGCUUCAAAAUUUAAAACUAGGAAUCUUUGAGGCUGCUAUUUCCUGGUUCAUUUUCUCCUUUUCCUCUGGAAGAGGAGUGGCUACGCAUGUGCCUCCCAAAGGCCUAACUCAUGAUCAUUUAGAACCAAUUCCAGUCAUAAUGAAACCAUUUAUUUCCCUCUCUCUCUUUCCUUUGAUAUAUAUUUUGUAAGGCGGCUUUGAUGUCUGGCUGCCAUGCAAGAACACAAUUAUUGAUUGAAAAAAGCCCCAUAACGUGCUUUGUUCCCAGAGCAGGUAAGCCUAUCAAGUCGUUUGGUACUUUUACGCAUUGUUUAUGAUUGGGGCUGCAAACUUUAGUGACGCCUGCAUCCAACCAAACCCACCAUCAAUAAUAAAGAAAGUAUAACAGAGAUUUGAAACAGUCAAGUUGGACUUUAAUCCAACUUUACAGUUUAGGUAACACAGCAAGUUAAAUUUUUUACUUCAGACCCUAAAAUUAAGAAGAAGUGUCUCUUUCUUCUCAUUAGUUUUUUUCAAACAUGGGUAAAGAUAAAUUUUCAUUAAGAAAAAGUGCAUGGUGAAUGUAUUUUCGUGGCACCCCAUUAUUUAGCUGGCUUUUGUUGUAUGUGUAAUGAAAUGAGAAAUAUUUCAAGGUGGGCCAAAGAUCCAUGAUUUAAAGAUAAUCAUUCAUAGCUAACAACUGCAUUUUCGUGAACAGUUACAUUUCGAAUAAACAAAACCACUGCGGUAAGAAAAGAAGAAAAUUAAUUCUGAUUCUUUGCUGUGAGCACAUUCUACCAUUGAACAGUGGCUCAAUCUGUAGAGCUUGUUCCUGUUGUCCUACAAUGAACGUGCCUAACUAAUCAGGUCUACAAUUCUUGGCCUAUAAUAGAAUAAGACGGAUUAAACUAUAGAUUACUGUAAAGCUUCACCUAGAGAAUAUUUUUAAUGCAUUGUGGACCUUUUCCAACAUUUUGCUGCUUGUCUUUCUUGUUCUGUUAGGAUAUAUAAGACUCUUCACACUGAGAUGGAAUGUCAAGCACAAAACUUGUUUCCUCCAAACAGGUUGAAGGCAUAGAUAACAGAAGUAAAGUUAGAGAUGAGAAUGCAGAGGCUUACUUUUUUGGUGUUGGCCACUAUAGUUGGUCUUCUAAGCCUGAUAGGCUCCACUCAAGCUCAGUUAAAGCUUGGUUUCUAUGCCAAAAGCUGCCCACACGCUGAGAAGAUUGUGCUAGAUUUCGUUCACCAGCAUAUCCACAAUGCCCCUUCAUUGGCAGCAACUUUCAUUAGAAUGCACUUCCACGAUUGCUUUGUCAGGGUAUUGUUUCUUUUCGUUUCCAUCUUCAUGAAAAUCCUUAAUCCUUACAACUCCUAUAUGCAACUGACAUUUACUUCUCUCUGUUUGAUGUGUUGCUGAACAGGGUUGUGAUGCAUCUGUGCUUAUAAACUCCACCUCAAACAACCAAGCUGAGAGGGAUUCUGCACCAAAUCAAACACUCAGAGGCUUUGACUUCAUUGAUAGAGUCAAAAGCUUACUUGAAGAUGAAUGCCCUGGAGUGGUCUCUUGCGCAGAUGUUCUUUCCUUGAUUGCAAGAGAUACCAUUGUAGCCACAGUAAGAAUCCACCCAGCCGACCAAAUGCCCUUUUAACUUUUCCAGUGUUCGAUGCUGUUUGUACUCUCUUUUCUUAUCGAAAAAUGAAAAAGACAAGCAACACACUUUCUCUAUUUGAUGGUUGUAUUCAUUUCAAUAUGCAGGGAGGUCCUUACUGGGAAGUUCCAACUGGCCGAAGAGAUGGAGUGAUCUCAAGAUCAAGAGAAGCUUUAAAUAACAUUCCUCCUCCAUUUGGAAACUUGUCCACGCUCCAAAGACUUUUCUCAAACCAAGGCCUUGAUCUAAAAGACUUGGUGUUACUAUCUGGUAAGUUCCAUAUAAUUUAAAAAGUAACCAAAAAAAAAAGAAAAAGUAACCCCAUUAACACUAAUUCUUCACUCAGUACUUUUCUGAAACACGUUGCAUCCAAUCAUGAUUUCAGGCGCUCACACAAUCGGCAUAGCACACUGCCAAUCAUUCAGCAAUCGACUCUACAAUUUCACCGGGGUAGGAGACCAAGAUCCCUCUCUAGACCCAAGAUACGCUGCUAAUCUGAAGGCUAACAAAUGCCGAACUCCCACCGCCAACAACAAAGUGGAAAUGGACCCAGGAAGUCGUAACACUUUUGACCUUAGCUACUAUUCUCUUCUACUAAAAAGGAGGGGCCUCUUCGAAUCCGAUGCUGCUCUUACAACAGACGCAACUACAUUGGGUUUAGUUCAGAAACUGGUAGAAGGACCCAUUGAAGAAUUCUUCGCUGAAUUUGCAGCAUCCAUGGAGAAAAUGGGUCGGAUUAAAGUGAAAACUGGAACUGAAGGUGAAAUCAGAAGGAGAUGCGGUGUGGUGAAUAGUUGAUUUGUUGUAACUUGGAAAUGGGUGUGAGUGAGUGAGUGAGUGAGUGUGUGUGUGUGUGAAAUCUUUUGGUUAUAUGUUGUUGAAUCAUGAAUGUGGUUAGUGGGGAAUUUAUCCUUUUUGUUGGGGGGAGAUUCGUGGGGUUGAAUAAUUGGAAUUCCAUUGUAAUGUUCUUAUUUUUGUUUUGUCAGGUUAAUAUUAAUAAGAUUCUGAUUUUGAAUAAUUUAUGUAUGGAUUGGCAGAUAACAAAAUUC